rnacentral:lncRNA from 1 species
GUGAACGAUCACUACUUGUCGUGACUGGCAGCACCGAGGAUGCUAAGCCAGGAUUGCUAUGUUACUGUUAAUGGUGACUAUACAAUAUAGCUACAAGGCAAGCUGCAAAGAAGACAGAUUUGUGUUUAGAGAUGGGAUCCUAUGCUACCUUUUCACCAUGCCAAACGAGUAGGCUAAAACAUUGGUAAGUGAACCCUAAUUUAGGCGCUGUCGAAAGGCUGAAUGCGUCGUGCGCGCUUCGUGAGCGUUAAGCUAAAAGAUCAUCUUUACAUUGAUAUAAAUCAAGGCCUUGAUGUGAGCUUACGCCGACAUGUGCUAUAAUUUUUAUUUUAUUUUUUUGAAUGCGGAGGAUUUAAUGGACAUCGGGCAUUACUGGGGCAAGGUCGUCCUCUAACUUACCCCGAACUGCUCUUUCUUUAACACCGUCCAUUCUUUUUGCUCUUUAUUAAUUUAUAAAAUAUGAAAAAAAAUUGAUUUUAUUGUAUAAUUGAAAUUUUAUCGAGAAAAAGAUCCUUUUUUUUUCAAUUUCUGCUUUGACAAAAGAGAAAUACGCGAGUUGGAUCUUUCAAUUACUUUGUCGAAAAGGUAAUUACGUUAUAGCGUGUGGUACUCAUUGCUAUAAUUGGAUAACAAAAAUAUAUCCAUGGAUGUGGCUCUAUAGAUGAAAUCAUGCUGUUAUAUUGUUAUCGUGGUAAAGGAAAUAAUAGCUUUUCCUAAAAAAACUCGGUUAAAUGUGUGAUUUGAAACAUGACAAUUUGCGGCGAAAAUAAUAGCUUUUUUCAUCACCAACCUAAACUUAAAAUUCAUAACAUCAAUUUGGCGAAAAGAUCGGGAAAUUGUUAAACUGUACGACUUUUUGGGUCCAAUUGUUGCAAUAAAUAAUUAUUCCGCCGUUUAGAUGACACCUAUAUGCCCUCUAACAUUGCAAAUACAAUAAUUUUGAUGUCGUAUUAGCGAAAGCAUGAUAUUCAACUUUCGUGCUAGAUGGAGUGAUGAUGGUCUAUUUGUUGUUAUGCUAUAAGAUAAGCGAGAUACUUAGAAAGAAAUAGUAGCCUAUAAUAAAGUGAUAAUCAAGAGGGUCUCGUGACUAAUCAGUGUCUAAAUAUUUUGAUGAGUCCUUUUAGUUAAAAAGAUUGAACAAAAAAAAUGAUCUCCACUCAAUCCAUUGAAAGUAGGUGAAUCACUCAGUUUAAUGGAAGAACCGGUACAUGAAUAAUGGUUAAGGGACUUUUUCUCGGGGAAUACACUCAAAUCCAUUAAAUUACCAAUUUUUAUCCAUGUGUUUUCCUAUUUGUUUUGUUUUUUUUUUGGUAACUGAGGAGCCGUUAUGGGGUCGCCCUCCGAUGCCCGGUGGCACUAUUGGUCGUCGUCACAAGUCACUAUUUAGACGUAAAACCUCGGAAAGUUGGCCUAGUAAUCCACCCUAAGACCCCCAGUUAAGUCAUAGAAUGCAACGAGAGAGUUCAAACCCUCGACCUCGGCGAUGAGAAAAAGUAUGCACACCAUUUGCUCUGCCCAUGGGUGGGUAUGUUUUCCUAUUUGUUGAUCGUCAAUUAAUACAUUAUAUAUGUGCAUUACUAAUACUCACCAAUCUGCUUCUUCACAAUCCAUUUAUAACAUAUGACUUUAGCUAGCUACAUGUUGAGUCCUUGCUCAGGAGCACGAUGUAACUAAUAUUAAAUUUAUCCAUAAAUUUAUUAAAUAAUUAGGCAAAACUAAAUUGCUUGAUUAGGAUAGAUUGUUUUGUGCUAUAGGCUUUUUGUUGGCUUGGCAGUCGUUGGGCCACCAAACUUAUGAUUGACUUCAAUUCGAUUGAUCUGCGUGCCUCGUUUUGACAUGGAGAAAUAUUUUACAAGGUCAUCUUUCAUGAGAAUACACGAGCUCAAGAUUAUUAAAGGAGCGUCAAGUACUCUUAUAUGCUUGACUAGCUAUAUUUCCAUAAAUUUGCAAAUUGCAUUAAUGGUUGUUCGAUUUGUGAAUAAUCUAUCUUUAAUAAAGAAUCAUUUGUUUUAGCGUGCCAAAAUUAGAUCUGGCAAACUGGUAAGUCGAGGUUGAGUCGAAAAUGAUCCGAAUCAAAAUCAACCAAUUUUAUGUGUAAUAUAAAUUUAGUGAUUGGUAUGUGACUUAAGAUCAAUUCUAAAUUUAUUUUUUUCAUUAGAUUAUUGAUUUUUGAGAAAACGAGCGGUUUCAUAAAUCGACUCGUUGAAGAAGAAAAAAAAUUAAUUCUCGUUAAAAAUUUAAAAUUCUUUCUUGUUUUUGCUUCAAGUUCUCGUCCCGUGACCCACCGUCGGAACGAGGGCAUGAAAUUUGAUGAAAAGUCCAAGGAGAGAUAAGGGGCGAAGGAUUUAAACCUAACGUGCAGAUCGGACGGUCAGCAGGUUCUAAGCAAAUCGAAUCUAACGGAGGAGACAGCAGCGUCGGCUUAAAGCCAUGUUAGAUAGAAGAAAAAAAGAAAAAGGGAAAAUUAGCGUUGACCACUCCGCAUUUCUUCAAAAUUCUUCCAAAUUUGCAAAUUCCCUAUGGCGGGGGCGCUCGUCGGCGGGGCAUUUCUCUCGGCUUUCCUCCAGGUGCUCUUCGACCGGAUGGCCUCCCGCGAGGUCGUCGACUUCUUCCGGUCGCGCAAGCUCGGCAAGGGGAGGCUGCUGCAGAAGCUGAAGGCCGCGCUCCUGUCCGCGAACGCCGUGCUGGACGACGCGGAGGAGAAGCAGAUGACCAACGACCACGUCAGGAAGUGGCUCGACGAGCUCAAGGACGCCGUGUACGACACCGACGACCUGUUCGACGAGAUCGCCACUGAAGAUGUGAAGCGCGAAGCCGGGGUCGAGCCUCGGGCUCUCGUUUGUAAGGUCUGGAGCUUUGCUGCAGACGCUCGUGGGAGUAAAUUGGGGGAUGAGUUAGAGAGGGUUCUGGAGAGAUUGGAGAGCGUAGUGAAGCAGAGAGAAGUGCUGGGCCUAGGGGAAAUUAUUCGCGAGAGGACGCCUAGAGUGACGACUUCGUUGGUCGACGAAUCGGGAGUUUUCGGGAGGGAAAAGGACAGGGAGGCGGUGAUCCAGUUGCUCUUGUCAGAUCGGGGCCAAAAGAACACCAGCGUGAUGGCCAUCGUUGGGAUGGGCGGUGUCGGUAAGACCACGCUAUCUCAACUCGUGUUCAACGAUGGUGCGGUGAAGGGGAGUUUCGAGUUGAGGGCGUGGGUUUGCGUGUCCGACCAAUUCGACAUCUGCAAGCUGACGGCGACGGCUCUCGAGGAGUUCUCCUCCUCAUCUAAGAAGGAGACUGAAAAUCUCGACCAGCUUCAGCUCCAACUGAAGAACUUCUUGACAGGGAAGAAAUUCCUAUUGGUGUUGGAUGAUGUUUGGAAUGAGGACUCAAAUCUUUGGGAUGCGUUCCUAGUUCCUUUUAUCUAUGGAGCAAGAGGCAGCAAAAUCAUCGUGACGACACGAAAUAAGAGGGUCGCAUCGGUUGCUCGUGCCGUCUCGACAUACCCUUUACGGAAGUUGCAAGACGAGGAAUGUUGGGACUUGUUCGCAAAACAUGCGUUUGACCAGCAAAACUUCAAGGCGCGCACGAGACUUGAAGAAAUCGGGCGAAGAAUUGUAAAGAGAUGUGAUGGAUUGCCUCUUGCGCUGAAGACUAUAGGUAGCUUGUUACGCUGUGAGUCUGAUAUCAGGGAGUGGGAAAGUAUUGCAGAGAGUUAUAUUUGGAAUUUGGCACCUGGACCAAAUGGAAUUCUCCCUGCGUUGUUGUUAAGUUAUCAUUACCUUCCUCCACAACUGAAACGAUGUUUUGCCUAUUGUUCAGUCUUCCCAAAGGAUUGUAUAUAUGAGAAGGACCAGCUGAUCUUACUUUGGAUGGCUGAGGGCUUGAUAGAACAACCUCACGACAGGACAUUAGAGCAAGUAGGUGAUCGGUGCUUCGAUGAUCUUGUGUCUAGAUCUUUGCUUCAUAGAGUAAGUGAUGUCGAAUCGAGCUUCUCGAUGCAUGACCUGGAAGUAAGCGAUGUCGAAUCGAGCUUUUCGAUGCAUGACCUGGUCAAUGACUUAGCAAGAUAUGUAGCUGGUCGUUCUUUUUUUAGCUUGGACGGAGGCAAUGCACACCACGUGUCCUCAAGCACUCGCCAUUUGUCAUUUGUAAGAACUCGAUAUGAUGUCGCUUCUAGAUUUAGAGUGUUAGCCGGGACAAUGAAUUUGCGUACUUUCCUGCCGCUAAACGUGGGUCGUGAGAGAUUUUACGAGUACAAUUUGUUGACUGAUGAGGUACUGCAUGUUCUGUUGCCGACCCUGAGACGGUUAAGGGUGCUAUCUUUGUCUCAUUAUCUGAAAAUCUCUACGUUGCCUAGUUCAAUUGGAUGUUUGAAGCAUCUGCGCUAUUUGAAUCUCACUUGUAAUUGGAGUCUAAUCAGAUUGCCUGAUACAAUUACAGCUCUAUACAACUUGCAAACCUUAAUUCUUGCUUACUGUGAGUCUCUCAUUGAGUUACCGAGCAACAUGGGCAGCCUAACCUGUCUGCGUCAUCUUGAUAUAAGGAAGACAUCCCUGAAGAGAAUGCCCUUGGGGAUGAACAGACUGAAGAAUUUGCAGAUAUUAACUAAUUUCGUGGUGACCGAAAACGGUGGGACCAGGGUUAGGGAGCUAGGGGAGCUAAGGGAUCUUAUGGGUACACUCUCCAUACAGGGUUUGCAGAAUGUUGAUAGUUACCAAGAUGCCGAGAUAGUCAAUUUGAAGGGAAAGAGGUACUUGAAAAAGUUAGUACUGGAAUGGGUUUAUGAUAACAAUAUUAUGCACCAAAAUUGCUUAAAUAUAUUGGACAAGCUGCAACCUCAUUGGAACUUGAGAGAGCUUGCCAUUAAUUUCUAUAGUGGUAGGUCAUUUUCCGAUUGGGUGGGACAUGGUUCAUUCUCUAAUAUGUCAGUCGUGUGUCUUGAAUCUUGCAAGCACUGUGUGUCAUUGCCUCCUUUAGGACAGCUACCAUCUUUGGAGAAGUUGAUAAUCAAAGGAUUUGAUGGAGUUAGGAGUGUGGGUACUGAAUUCAAUGGUAGCAACUGUAUACCUUUUCAGUCACUUAAGUACUUGGAAUUUGUUGACAUGUGCAGCUGGAAAGAGUGGGCUUCUUUUGCAAUAGAGACGGGAGGUCUUGCCUUUGCACAUCUGCAGGAGCUUUGUAUUAGAAAUUGCCCUGAGUUGAGUGGAGGUUUACCCAACCAUCUCCCUUCUCUAACAGCCUUGUCCAUUGAAAAGUGCCCACAGCUAACGUCUUCUCUACUAUUUGCACCACUUCUCCGUAAAAUCAAUUUGGAUGAUUGUGGAAAGGUUUCUGGAGUUGAGCCUCUCCUAAAUGGCACCGAGUUACGAGAUAUGAGAAUCAAGAGACUUUCAACCCUUCCCUUGAGGUUUCUUCCUCCUACCAUGACAAGACCUAAUCUUGAAGACAGUCCUGGAAUAGAGUUGCCACUGCACAGAUGCCAUGAAUCUCUCCAAUAUCUAAACUUGGAGUGGAGCUGCGAUACACUUAUAUCCUUUCCUCUGGAAAUUUUCCCCUCACUUAAAGAUAUUCAGUUGUCGGGGAUUAAAAAUUUGGAACAUCUUGCCAAUUCAGACGGUUCAUCACUUCUUCUCCAUUCGAUGGCCAUUUGUAAUUGCCCUGAAUUUAGAUCUUUCCCUGCGGGAGGAUUGGCUGCCCCAUCCCUCACUUCAUUAGAGUUGUAUAAUUGCUGUCAUCUAAAGUAUCUGCCAGAAAGCAUGCAGGCUCUCCUUCCUUCGCUUCGGUCACUGACAAUAUCCUUAUGUCCACAACUCGAGUCAUUUCCCGAGAGGGGUUUAUCCUCCAAGUUGGUCGCGCUUUCACUCUCUAAUUGUGAUAAGCUCAUCACUGGCCGCAAGGAUUGGGGUCUUCAAUCGCUAUGCUCUCUUGAAACUUUUUCCAUUGGGGAACAGAAAAAUAUCGAGUCAUUCCCUGAGAUAGGGCUUCUGCCAACCUCUCUUACCUCUUUGCAUAUCUCUUUCUUUGAGAAUCUGACGUCCCUGAACUCCAGAGCGCUUCAUAGCCUGAGCUCCCUUGAAAACCUCUCCAUUAUCGGAUGUCCUAAGCUCCAUUCCUUCCCAAAAGAGGGACAAAUUCUGCCUACUUCUCUUACCUCUCUGUCGAUUUAUUUUACGGGUCUAAAAUCACUGGAUAACUUAGGGCUCCACCACCUCACUUCUCUCAAAGAAUUUCGCAUAGAUUUCUGCUUCAAUCUUCGAUCCAUGCCAGCGGAGGGCUUGUCAUCCUCCCUUUCCAAUCUAUUUAUCAAUAAGUGCCCUAUGCUGGCGAAAAGAUGCCAGCGGAAGAAAGGGAAAGAUUGGCCCCUAGUUUCGCACAUUCGCUGCAUCGUGAUUGAAGGUGUGCUCGUCACAUAAUCGAAUAUCUUGCUUUACAAUCCCUCCUUUUACCAAGAUCUCACUCAGGUAUCUCCCUUGGCCCUACACUAAGUAAGCCAUUUAUUUAUUCUGGACAUACUUCGGUCACUCUGUGCUAUCCUUCCAGCUAAUGCAAAUCGAAAUCUGGCGUGUGUGUUGGACCGUUUCCCUAAUGUAUCUCCGGCUGAAGCAAUCGACGUUCUUAUGGCGCAAUGUGAGCUUCAGCCGGUAGCCAGUGCGCGGCAAUACGUCCAAUUUUUGGUUGUUUGAGGAUUAGCGGGAGCUCUAAUUAAGGAAAGGUCCUGCCAAUUCUACUACUUCUGCGGAGAGUAGUUGAAUUACCAAGAGGGAAGCUUGGAAGCUAUCCGAGCGGCCUGUUGUGGCAAUCGGUUGACGCCUGCUCAGUAGCAGAGGAGAGUUUCAAAAGUGGAGGGGACAAGCAUAGGAAAUUCGUGCAAAAUCUCGGUUUAUGAGAUGGGGAUGCGGACAGAGAUUUUUGGUGAAAUUUAAAAGAAGAUAGCAUAGGAAGUAGAAAAUGUACCGAACACCUAGCAGGUGGGCCGGGUGGGUUUGGGGCAUCCGGAGAACGCAGACCGGAUAUUUAGAAGCAAUAACUAUUGUACAAGCAUCUUCUCGAAUGUGAGCUUUGCAGACUGGAUUGGUAUCUGGCAGGUUUAUAUCUUCACCGGGAUGAAGAAGAAUUGCAAAGAGAGAGAUCAUAGAGAAGCAUCAUUUGAUUAUUUACCUGUUGCUCUUCUUUUUCCCAGUGGGUACAUGCAUCUGUUGUUUGCAGUGUUAUUAGCCGGGGAUGUCAGCAUUUCCUAGUCAACUCAGUCUGAGAUCUGGUGCUUUAGCAGCAAACUAGUUAAGUUCUACCAUGAAUGGAGUUCAUUUGGUUGUAUCUACCUUAAAUGUUAAGUCGUCAUUCCCUGGCAGAAUUACGUGAAAAGAAGUAGAUGUUUGUUUCUCUUUGUGAGGGAGAAGUUUCAAUGUCUGAGUCCGGUUAAUUAGAUUCCUAGGACUUGACAAUGAUUGGUCACUGCACUGCACUGAAGCCUGUUAUUUGACAGGAAUCUCUUCCUCAUCCUCUUCUUCUUCCUCCAUUUCUUUGGACUGUUGGAGCAGAUUUUCUAGUGAUAUUUUUCAUGUGUUUACUGAUUAUCUAAGAUGCACAGUUAAGCAUUUAUUCUGUCAUGAUACAUCAUUGUGACGAAUUUUUCCAGUAACUGUUGCCGUUAGAUUGGUGUUGUUAAUAAAUUGUGCUGUUCAUGAACUUGGACAUAUUUUUCCUGGACUAACACUCAGAGAUCCGAAUUUGUUAGCAGGUCAUUAAGUAUGGUUUUGUCAUACUGUUCAUUGUUACGAUUUGGGGAUGUUAUGUCAACAGCCUAAAGAGUCUCUUGUCUCUUCAAGCCACAGUUACGAACUUCUCGACAAAUUUCCUCGCUUCUGGAUUAGCUGGGUUCUUUUUAUUUGAUGAGUCAUUGAGAUACCAGGUACUUUGAUUAACUAUUUUCCUGCCCUGUUCUGCAAAGUUAUGUACUUCAAGGUUUGAUUUUUUAUUGUGUUUAAAACAAGAGGCGAGCUCUUAUUGUUAUACCUGGAACUAUCAAAAGUUUUUUUCACGUACACAAGUAAUAUCACGACUGCAUUUAGUUCCCUCAAGAGAAGAAUUCUCUCUAUGGAAUCGGAACUGGUAAUCUUGAAAGUGGCAAAUAGGCCAAAAGUUGGGAGUCAAAUUAUGCAAUAGAUAACUUCCGAGUUUGUUAUCUCAUGAAUGCAUUGAGGGUAAUUAUGCCAUCAUAAGUGGGGAACAACAGCAUGGAGAAGGAUUUUAUAUUUCAGAUGAAAGCUUCUGAGAUCAAUGUGGUUGCUAAAGAACAGAGCUAGUUUGCUUCAUGCAAACCUGUUGUUCAGGGAUUCUUGGUGUAGUCUCCACCUUGCGAUAAAAGGCAUUGUGUACUUCCUAGUUCCUGAUAAUGACUUGAGUUUAGGUUUAAUCAUUGCUAUCUUGACUCGCAUUAUGGUUGUGAUAUGGUUGUAAAAUUGUGAUUGAAAGGAGGCAAUGAUUUUUGAGAUUCUCACUCCACUUAGUCUAUGAAUGCAGAUUUCACGAAUUUCACAUAAAGUCCCGUUCUUAGUGGUUUGCAGGUGCACUUCUUAUAGUGAUUGGUGUGCUAAUUCUCAGCAAAUCAAGUAUCGAGAAGAAAAGUAGAGUUGAUUGAAAGUUCUCAGUUUAUGAGAGAUACCAUACGCCAUGCUUGAAGGUUGCCCCCUUUUGCUACAGGCAACAGUUGCCCUGCUUCUCUGCUUUAUGUUUUUCUUUCCCUUCUCUCUUUUAAGUGCCCGAACUGCCUGUACUCAUUUAUCUUUUGUGGAUUUGCUGGUGACUUAUAAAUGAGAAGUUACAUUCUCGUGCCACUCUCAAGGAAGGAAAAAAAGGAAGCUGAGAAUUGAGGAUAGAAGAGUGUUUCCUUCCUGGCCGGUCAUUCCGCGUGAAUGAUCACUACUUGCUGCGACUGGCAGCACCAAGGUUGCUAUGUUGUUAAUGCCAGGAUUGCUAUGUUACUGUUAAUGGUGACGGUAAGAUAUAGCUACAAAGCAAGCUGCAAACGAGUAGGCUAAAACAUUGGUAAGUGAACCUUAAUUUAGGCGCUCUGGAAAGGCUGAAUGUGUCGUGCGCGCUUUGAGAGCAUAAAGCUAAGACCCAACAAAGAUCAUCUUUACAUUAAUAUAAAUCAAGGUCUUAAUGUGAGCUUAUACCGACAUGUGCUAUGACGUAAUAGAAAACUUGCGGAGGAUUUAAUGGACAUCGUGCGUUACGGGGCCGAGGUUGUCUUCUAACUCACCUCGACCCGAACUACUCUUGCUAUAAGACCCUCCAUUCCUUUUGCCCCUUAUUAAAAGUUUGUUACUUGUAUGAUCUAAAACACGACAACGCAUGGCCAAAGUAAUAGUUUUUCUCAUUACCAAUCUAAACUUAAAAUUUGUAAAAUCAAUUCGGUGAAAAGAUCGGUGCACCAAAUUGGUGUUCCCCUCAAAAUGUGGAUUUUUGGCUGGCACAAUAAAAUAAUCAAGUAACCUAACAUUAUAUAUAUAAAGCAUUUUUUGGGGUUAACUUAUUAGAUUCAUGUUUAAUGAGUUUAUAAUGCAGCAUCGUAGCACGACGUGAGAAUACAAUAAUUUUGAGUGUGUUUGUUUCGUGGAAAAAGAAUAAUUUGAAAAAUAUAUAUUUUUAAAUAAUCGCUUAAAAGAAUUAAUGAGUGGAAAAUAUUUUUCAUUGUUCAUGAAAAUAUUUAGACAUAAAAUUAUUAGUAAUAAAAAUAUUUUUAUUGAUUAAUGAUUAUAAGCAAUAUAAACGCAGGCCUUAACGAGAAAAUGUGGCUUAUUUUUUCAUUUCUCAUUGAACUGUCACUGUUCAGGUAAGGCUCCGCCCGACAAAUGGGCUCGAGGCGCGAAACUGAGGAUGAAUCAGGACCGUUGCUCAAAGGCGAAGGGCUCGCCGACUAAAAUGCGUCCGCGCACACCGGAUCGCGGCUCACCGUCUCUCUCCUUCGCAUUUUCCCGCCAGAAACCCAUCCCCGUCGACCUUCAUUUACCGCCAAGUCUCUCUCUCCCGCCCUCUUCCCUGACCUAAACCCUCACUCGCGAGGCUCUGCGCGUAAUUGAUCGGCGGCGUUAUGCGAAUCCGGGAUCCAAUUUGAUGUUGUGAUGAAGCCGACAGCAAUCGCGAAGGAUUUCCUCUCGAACUUCGCCAACGCGAAUGGAGAAGCCAAGUACAUGAACGUCCUCGUAAGUUCCUCCUCUCUCGGCUCUUGUUUUUAUACUCGGACAUCCUUUUAAGCGCUGUAGAAUUGAGGCGAAAUCAAUGUUAAAGGUGCGUGCUUGAUCGCACGUCGUGCCCUAUCCUUUUCUGUUGUCCAUGAACUGCGGCUGCGGAGUCUCUUCCGUGUGCAAUAAUGCUCCAGUACUUAUAAAAUGAUUAACCCUAGAUUUCACAUUUGAGUCGAGCGUAGUUCCCUUUUUAUUUGCAAUUUAAAUGGCUCGCAUGAGGGUCGCCAUUCCUGAUUUCAGCAAGAAGUUGCAAAUCGAAAAAUUCGUGAUAUCCGUUUUAUUAUUCCGUGAUAUCUUUCAUUCAUAAGCUAUAUGUUUAAAAUAGAUAGUAAUUAGCUAAAUAAUCGGUGACACCAAAUAUUAAAUAUUUACCUAACAUCAUCAUAUUAUAAAGUUACUUUCGAUUCCGAGUAAUAAAAGCAGCACACAUCCUCUCUCUCUCUCUCUCACUCACUAACACAGUGGUCGAGGCGUCAGACGUGGUUGAGGCCCCCCUCAUCGUUGCAUGGCUGCUCCCGCUGGCCUGGCUCGUGAGCCGGAUGAUAGGCGCCGCAAGAUGAAGCGGCUGCUGCGAUUGGCUUCAGAAGAAGCCGUGCGAGUCGAGCUCAAGGCGUGGAUCGAGGCGUGGAUCGUGGCGUGGAUAGGCCCGAUUGAGGCCCUCAUCCUCUGCAUCAUAUGACUGCUACCACUCGUGGCAUUCCUCAUCCAGAGGAGUCGGUGAUGAUCGGUCAAGAGGAGCCUCAAGAUUGAGCGGCUGAGGCUCCAUCGGGUACAUAAGGUCGUCUCCCCUUUGCUACUGUCACUGUCCCGUUUGCUAUGGACGUGAUACCUAUAGAUGCUCACUGUCCCGUUUGCUAUGGACGUGAUACCUAUAGAUGCUCGCACCACCAAGCGACGCGAUGCUAGUGAUUUCGAUAGUUUAAUCAAUCAGUCGUGGCAUCUGGUGUAUGGUCGAUGAACAAUCACUAGCGAAAAAUUUACUAUGCCUAAUUUGGUUAUGUACAUACUAGUCAUUUAGGAAGAAUCAAUCAGUCAUGGCAUCUGGUGUAUGAUCAAUGAACAAUUACUAGGGAAAUUUCCAUUGUUUAUUACAAUAUUUCCUAUAUACAUUCGCCGUACCGUCGUCGCUCUCGCCCGUGGUUGCCCACGGUCGCGACCAACUCUCGUUGCCAUGGAGGGAGAGAGAAGGGCCGUGGCGACUGAGGGGACUGUGGGGACAGCGCUCCUGAAUUCGAGCAAUUCUCGAGACGGAGUCUAAGCUCGAAUAUGUCCGCGAAGGACGCGAUUUUCUUCGCUGCUGCGGCUAACGAAGUGGAAUCCUUACGCGAAAUCGCGUCGGGAAGUCCCACCACCAAGUACGAACCUGUCUCUUCGCUGAUGGAUCCUCCCGAUCAGCGGAAGGAGUCGAAGUCGAAGUUCGUCGUCGCCCAUUGUUCGCGACCACCCCACUCUCAAGACUCUCCAUUCAGCCACGGGUCCAAUUCUUCGCUGCCUGCGAUCGUAACUCGUUCCUACCAAAAUCUCAAGGGAGAUUUGACUACCAACGUCUCUCUCGUCCAGCGGUCUGUGUCUCUCCCUCUUCCCUCGAGCUUGCUCUAUGAUCAUGGGAGAGCGUGCGGGCCGAUGCUUCGCUUCGCUCCUCCGCUCGUAAGAAGGAAAGGAAAAAAAGAGCGAAAAAGAGAGGGAAAAUCACAAAAAAAAAGGAAAAAAAGAGGGGAAAAUAGGGAAGUUCCCAGGUUUGGUAGUUUGUUAGGGGCGUUGGCGGAUGAUAUGCCCACUUAACAUUUUGGAUCAUCAUCUCUACUGCGGUGAAUCAUUCAUCAUCGAAUGAGGAUUCACCAUCGAAUGAGGAGAGACUUGUGUCUGUGGAGACAUACAUGACAUUCAUGAUCUAAUCUACUUAAAAUAUGCUUGAUGAUUGUGCAUUUCUUCAAGCUUUAAUGUGAUGAUAUCUACAAAGGACAUAUAUGUUUCACCAGGGGAGCUCCAAAUAUGCAAAUGUCAAUGUUAACUACAAAAUCUUUCUGCUUGGAGAGCCUGCUAGCCAUCACUAGCCAAAAUGAAAAGAGGAAAAAAUUUUAAAAAGAAUUAAAAAAUUUCCACGUCAAUGCGAAUCACACCUUAUAAGAUAGCUAACUUUCAAAUCAAUGGAUUGGACUCAAUUGUCACAAAUAUAAAAAAUCAAUGAUUAAAUUAAUCUAAUCUAAAGAUUUAAAAGUGAAUUAGUAUUAAUAUAGUAUGUUUAAAUAUUGAUAAAACACAAAAUUGUACCAUGAAAUGUCACAUCACAAAAUUGAAGAACACUACAAAUAAGUAAAAAUCAUAAAAAUUGAAAAACACUACAAAUAAGUAAAAAUCAUAAAAAUUGAAAAAUAAACAUCAAAUAUGAAAAACAAAAAACAAAGAAAAAGAUGAAGUUUGCAGGGUUUAUAUGUCGUCCCAAUAAGGGUUGGCGAUCCUCAUCGAGGUCCAAUUGAGGGCAGUGAGCCCUCACACAAUAGUAGUUGCAAUAACCAUCAUUGGGCCCCAACAAGGGUCUAUCCAACAAAUUGUGCCCCACUGCUGCAAGGGGCAUUACCUCCGUCCAUCUCUAGGUGAGUCACCCUCACGGAUGCAAAGCCGCCCCCUUAUUGCCCCUAACAUUUUUUACUUUUCUGAAAUCAUUUCAAUCCUUUUUUUUUUUAAUAUUUAUGCUAUUUCGUCCUCUUUUUUUUUUUUUUUUUUUUUUCCUUUUUAGCAUUUGUCUUUUUGACGCGGUGCCUAUUCGACAGCGAGAGAGGAAGAGUGAACUCUCCAUUUUUGGGUCCACCGUUGGCUUUCUUUAUGAUUAUCUUAGGAUGGUUUGACAGUCCCAUUAACUCAAUGAGAGAGAGAAACUCUCACUCUUCACCUUAUAUGAACUUAAUUUGACCAAUCUUUUUUGCCUCUCUUUCUUUUUCCACUUUUUCCAAGAAGCUUCGCGGAAGCAUCUCGGGUCAUUAGUUUCGUCGAAUUUAAUGUCUGAAAAGGAAACUCCACGGCUUCUUGCAAUACCCGUCCUUGAUUUCCUUUGAAAUGAAGUUGCUCUCUUGAGCAAACCCUCUUCGAAGUAGUACUCAGGGCUGUCAAAUGAUUGGUUCGAAAAUGGUUAAGCCCUAAUUGAUCCAUGUAAUUUUGAUAAAAAAUGACCUAUAUAACUUCUUUUUUUUACUCAUUUAUAUGAAAUACAAAGUUAAUGUCCCAAUAUAGAGCCAUAAUUUUGACUGACGGAAGUGAAAUUUUCACUGUUAUGCAUCUUAAUUUUUUUUUCUAAUAUUUGUUACUAAUAGGUAUUUCAAAUGAAGUCAACUCAAUAAAUUAGUAAAAAAAAUUACAGAAGACUGAAAAAAAUUAACUCAACUAAAAUAGAAUAACUACUCAAAGUACAUUUUUUUAAAAACAAAAGUAAGAGUACCAAAAUUGCCAAAACAUCAUUACAAAUGAUAAAUUGAAGAAUUAAAAAUGGCAAAAAUUGAUACACCCCUUCCGUACAAAGAGUGCUUAGGCCCUUUCAACCUUUUCUUUUAAUUGAGGAGAGUGGGGAAGCAAUAACACUUAGACCGCCAACUUUUUUGAGAUUAGUGCAUUUAAAAUUUUAAACUCAUGGCAGAAGUGUAACUGAAUUUUAAAAUUUAAGAUAAUAUAAUCAAAUAUGAAAGUUUGCAAUCAAAAUUGAAGAUGCUUAAAAUAUUACUCUAGUACAAAUCAUCAAUAUGUGUUGUGUUGAAUGUUAAACGCAAACAAAACCUGAAAGUGUGAAACUCAUGGCAGAAGUGUAACUGAAUUUUAAAAUUUAAGAUAAUAUAAUCAAAUAUGAAAGUUUGCAAUCAAAAUUGAAGAUGCUUAAAAUAUUACUCUAGUACCAAUCAUCAAUAUGUGUUGUGUUGAAUGUUUGCUUUGUUGAUUUGAUAAUUGUAAUGUCCCCAUAAUCGUUUCAUCAAAUAUGUGAUGGAUGGAAAGUGUAGAAAAGAAGUAAAAAAAGAAUAAAUGCACAUAACAAUUUUUUUCAUAGUGUGAUUGUUUAGAUAUAACUGAACUUGUUGACCGAGAGCAACAUAAGUGUCCACCGGGUGUCUGGAUUGCAACGCUAAUGCUACUACAUGGCUACUAGAUGUUCUCUUUGAGAGAAAAUAUUGAAUAUACAAGUUGUGUCAGUGUAACAAAUUAAAAGCUCAUCUAUUAAGUGACAUGUGUUCUUAAAAAAUGCACUUGAAAUGGGAAUGCUCAUGUUUCAAAAUGGCGUGCAAGUCGCUCUCUCGAGGAAACCCUCUUCCUAAGUAGCACUUGGGCUAUCGAAUGGUGGAUUGGUUCGAAAAUGAUUAGACUCUAAUUGACCCAUGUGAUUUUGAUUAAAAAAUAAUCAAUAUAACCUGUUUUGACUCAUUUAUAUGAAAUAUGAACUUAAUGUUCCAUAAUAGCACCACAAUUUUGAGUGGUGGAAGUGAAUUUUUCACUAUUAUGCAUCUAAAUUUUUUAAUUAAUAUUUGUUACUAAUAAGUAUUCCAAAUAAAGUCAACUCAAUAAGUUUUCUAAUUUUUCAAUUUAUAUUUUUACAAUAGGUAUUUUAAAUAAAAUCAACUCAAUAAAUUUUCUUAUUUUUAAUUAAUAUUUGUUACAAAUAGGUAUUACUAAAAUGAAGUCAACUCAAUAAAUUAGUAAAAAAAAUUACAGAAAACCGAAAAAAUUAACUCAACCAAAUUAGAAUAAGUACUCAAAGUACCUUUAUUUUAAAAUAUAAGUAAGAGUGCACAAAUUGCCAAAACAUCAUUACAAAUGAUAAAUUGAAGAAUUAAAAAUGAUAAAAAUUGAAACACCCCUUCCAUACAAAGAGUGCUCAGACCGUCAACUUUUAUUUAUAGAUUAGUGCAUUUAAAAUUCUAAACUAAUGGCAAAAGUGUAACUGAAGUCUAAAAUUUUAGAUAAUAUAAUCAAAUCUGAAAAUUUACCAAAUUGAAGCAAUCAAAAUUUAAGAUGCUUAAAAUAUUACUCUAAUAUAAAUCAAUAAUAUGUGCUGUGUUUAAUGCUAAGCGCAAAACAAAUCCUCAAUGUGUGAUGUCACUCAUUGAUUGUGUAGAAUUUAGGCAACAUUUUUUUUUUGGUCGAAACUUAGGCAACAUUUCAAUAAGUAGAUUUGAUAAUUACAACGAUCCACAUAAUUGUUUCAUCAAUAUGUGAUGGAUGGAAAGUGAAAAAAAAAAGGAGUAAAAAGAGAAUAAAUAUGCAACAUUUUCUUUUCAUAGUGUAAUUGUCUAGGUAUUAUUGAACUUGAUGUUGACCGAGAGCAACUAAAUUUCCACCAAGUGUCUGGAUUGCAGCAUUAAUGCUACUACAUGUUCCUUGGGAGAAAAUAUUGGUUGUGCAUGUUGUGCCAGCGCAACAAAUUGAAAGCUUAUUCAUUGAACAACAUGUGUUCAUCUUCUUGCCCUUUCUCUGUUCUCCCACUGCUUUCUUCGUUCUUUUUGCAAGCCACGGAUGGUCUCUCUCCUCCGUAAACCCCUUCUCCUCCUUCGGCCCUCCCCCUCACUUGCCCGGGGCACGACAACGUCAUUCACCCGGCCUCUCCUUCACUUGAGCUCGACCUUUGUGCCUUCCCCACCAACAACAGCUCCACCAUUGAAAUCAUCCGCUGCCCCUGCGGCCCUUGGAUCCAAGAACAAGCCUAAGUCUCCCGUGCUCAUUGUCAUCACUCAUGAUCCCGAGCCCCUGCAUCCUUGAGAUCUUCUGUGCUCUGAGUCAUCCCUCCCUCCGUAGCUUACGGAUCUAACAAGGGCUUAGUCCUUUAUAGAUUUAGCGCAAGUGACCCUUACCCUAGUCGGGAGAGUCAACCCUCACCGAAUCCCCUCAUUAGAUUCGGCGAGAGCAACCCUAGCUUGUGGCCAGUCACCGGCCACAACCAAGUACUGGCCAUAGGUCAAAGGGAAAGAAAGUAAUUUAAAAAAAAAAAAGGAAGGGAGAAAUGGCAAAAAAGAAGAAGAGAAAUGGAGGUGCAAGUCUGUGAGAGGAGAGAAACGAAGGAAGAAUAGCUUGAUAAGUAAGGGCGCGAUUGGUAAUGUUUCUGUUCAAAAAUUGUUCCAGGGAACAGAAAAAAAAAAGUGUUUAUGUUCCGAGGAACAGUUUUUGAACAAAAGAACGCGUUUGGUAAGUGUAAAAAAAAACUGUUCUUGAAAUUAAAAAAAAAAAAAAAACAGAAACACGUUUGGUAACUGACUUAAUUUCUGUUCCUAGAAUAGAAAAAGAACAGAAACACGUUUGGUAACUGUACAAAAUUUAUGUUUUAAAUUUUUCAAAAAAUGUUUUUUUUUAAUAAAAUUUAAACUUGAUAUUGAAUUCUCAUUCUCAUGAAAUGCUCAUUAAUUUAAUUUUAUUCAUGGUGAAUAAAGACAAACAUUCUGAACAUGAUCACAUGACAUACUUGGUAGAAAAUUUUGUAAAUAAAGUUUGUAUCAAAUUUUUAUCAAAUACUUUAUUUUUUAUUUUUUAUUUUUUAUUUUUAUAUCAUAUCUAAAUGUUCAUAAACAAUCUCCAUUAUCCAAUCUGUUCCCUAGGAAGUUAAUUGACGUGAAAAUAAUCAAAAUCUAGAUGAGUUCUAGAUUCAGACUUUCUUUUGAAGGCUAAACUCACUGUUCUUGAUAAUAUAGCCCCCUUAUUCGGAAUCACUCAAACUGCAGGUGGGUGAUUGAAGCCUACAUCAGUCUUCGUUAUAAAUUUCGACCAUCACAUUCUAUAACAGAAUUUCUUUUAGGUAUGAGUCAUUUUAUAUCAUACCAAUUACUUGAUACGAAAUAACGUUGUCUUAUAGACAUAUAAUUAGAAUGACACAACAACAUUAGAACUACAUCGGCAAAGCCGCAAAGUUGAAAAUAUUCUAGAUUAUAUUGAAACACCUACAAUGAAUAAAAGACUGAAUUAAUAAUUUCUCUUUGGUGACUGCACUAAGAGUCUUAAAAUUUGCACUGCAAGUGUACUCAACGGGCUCAACGCAGAGCCAUGCAGACUCUGCAUCUUCAAGCUCGCUCUCUUGCGGAGUUAUCCCUGAGACCGCAUUGAAUUGGAUGUCCACGGGAGUUAAAAUCAUCGGAAUCCUGAGCCGGCCAUCCCCCACCGACCUGUCUCAAUGAAAGCUCCCCUUUUCCGUUCUUCGCUUCCAAAAUCCUCAACGUUUUCGACUUCCCACGGACAACCUCUAGCCCCUUCUUUGAGUACUUGGGUGCCACCAUAAUCUCGCAGAACAUCCGAGUUUCACCAUCCGUUGGGCUUGUGAACUCCUGGACUUCCCUCGCCAAGUUCUAUAUGCACAAUAGGACAUUGCAAGGUUAGUGUUGACAUUCAACUCAAUCAACUUUAUCAAGUGAAGCAUUACAAUACUGACUCAGCAAUAGGAGACCCGCACCUACACCAGUGUUGUUUCAAUUUUGAGGGAAGCCCGUGCUGAAUGAGGCUUAAAGUUUUAAAAGCUCACGCCCCUUUUUAUUUAUCAGAGAAUUAUAAUAUAUUAUGGAAUGUGACCAUGGCAUAACAUUUAGCCUAAUUUGCUCAAACUAGUUGACUCAAGAAUGAGCUUCAAUAUGGAACUCUAUGGAUUUAAAAAAUGAGGAGCCUUUUUCAGUUUAUUAUAUUUGGACUCGGUGGGUGUACUAUAUAAGGAAAUUCGAAUUUUCACUUUGUAACUUGCAUAAUGAAAUAAGCAUAUACCUCAUCAAUUUCUAUGUUGAAGGCCACGAUAUCACCAAAUGCACUGACUGGAUCUGCUUUGACUGCUAAUCUGAAUGCUUGAAGAAUAUCGGCGGGGGAAGCCACCCCAUGAGGAUUUGUAUGCUUUAUGACGAUGCAUGUAGGUCACUAAACUCGGAUACACGAUUCCAGGCAGCAUCAACAUCCAGAUAGUUAUUAUAUGACAUUUCCUGCAGCACCAAUACAUAAUUCACAACAAAUGAGAGAUAGAUAUGCUAUUGUUACCACGAUCUGUCAAUGGUUUAAACGAACUUUGCAGAACAAACUACUAUUGCAGUUGCUCAGAGACUUCUAAACAGCAUCCAGUCUCAUCUCAAAAACACAUGGUUAUGAUACUAAAAGGCAGCCAAUUAGUCCCCUGUAUCGCUAAUCUCCUUUGCAAAACAUUGUUAGUGUUUCAUUAUACCUAAACCUUUUGCACGCUCAAAUACACAGAUAGUUAUGUUGAAGAAGCAAAUAAAGUGCCAGAGAGAUUUGAAUUGAGUACCUCCUGUUCUAAUAACAUAUUGACUUCUUGAAGCCUUUGUUAAUUUAUCAAAAAGCUUUAGCUAUAACAUGAAGAUACUAUCUAUUAUUUAGAUUUAAUAACAAGAUUCCAUUUUAGAAACUGCCUCCUCUAUCUAAUGAAGUUUUCAAAGCUAGAUAAUUACUAGAUCCGCUGCAAUUUCAACUUCCUCAAAAGAUUGACCUUGAUGUAAAAAUAUGACAUCAAGGAAUCGCCUUCCAUGAUGUUGGAUUGCAGUUGCAAUACCACCUCCAUUAACCUUAGCAAGACUCUUGUCCACAUGUAGCCUUAUGGUGGGGAUUUUCACCAAUAUGAAGAGAACUUUUAAGAGAUAGAGGCAAUGUUAAGCUAGGAGGGAAUUUCUCUAUCAAAAGGAAGAGUCGUCAACCUCCACAUUUUCGGUUAAAAAACUAAUAGGGUAACAGAACCUACUGAAAUUACUGAUUUCCAAAAGAAACAAACAAAAGGAUACCAUCAGAACCAAGUCUCUAAAAAGCCCCUUACUUGCAUGUGUUUAGACCUACAUGCAUUUUUAAUUGCCUUAGUGGCUAUGACAUCAAUUGAGAACACGAACUAGACGAAUACCUCCAGUUGUUUGUCUCCAUAGCCACUCUGACACUGCAGAAUCAUAGGAAGCAACACUUUGAAAGGCCUUUCAAGCAAGUUUUCUACGGAACUGUUGAUCAUCUCCAUUACUCUUCAGGAACUCUAGCAGUGCAGGGUAGUCGUGUGAAUCAACCACAACAAGGACAUCUGAUGAUUCUGUUAGAAGACAAAUGCCAACAUCAAUUCAAAUUAAGGGCAUAUAAUGGUUCUUGACGCAAAAUUACAGAAAAAUUUACCACAUGCAUAUUGAUACAUAGAGGCGCAAAGCCAGCAACAAUUCUACAAAAAAAGUGCAACAUAUUGGACAUACCUACUUUAGUUUAUAAUUUAACAAGCAUCACAAGAGCAAUUGUUUAGUUUUAGCAUAAAAGCAUGAGAGAAAUCAUUACCCAAAUAGUAAGAAGAUAAUCUGGAGCCGCAAUCUCAAUGUAAAAGUUAACAUACUUUCAGUCAAUUACAUGCCUCGGUUACAAGUGCCGUUGUAGCAAAGUUUGCAUGAUAUCCGUGAGCCUAGAGUGACAGAAGACACCAAUACAAUCAUAAUCCCUCACAUGUCCAAAUUUGGGCGAGCAACGCUCGCUUGGGGCUCGAGCACGAGGGCUCGCUCGAGCGAGCGUCGUUGCUCUGCCGAGCGACCAAAGCAGCUCGAGCUCGGCAGAGCAGCUCCAACGAGCAACGCUCGCUUGGGGCUCGAGCACGAGGGCUCGCUCGAGCGAGCCUCUCGCAGAUCUGGGCAAGCGCUGGAUCGAGCGAGCUGUCGCGCUCGAGCCCCGAGCAGCCGUCGCCCAGAUCUGUGAGGGGUGGCUCUCGCUGAAGCCCUCGUCGAACGGAGAAGGAGGAGCAGCAGAAACUAACCUCGAUUCAGAAGCUUCAGCCGGUAGGAGCAGCAGCUGUCGGCGCCGGAGAGUCAGCCGAGUGGGGAGGCGCCGGAGAGUCAGCCGAGUGGGAGGCGCCGGAGAGUCAGCUGGUGGUGAACUUGUGAGAGACGCCGGAAAAGGGAGAGCGUUGUUUCGGGUAGGGCAUGAACGAAAGAGAAAGGGCACGAACGAAGGAGAAAGGGCACGAAAACGAAGCCCGAAGUGUUCCGGUUUUGUUCUUUUUAGGGCUUCAAGAAGUGUUUCUGGACUCCAGAAGUAAGUUUUUUUUUUUUAUUUAUCUUUUUUAUGUUUCAAUUUUGCUCUAGGAACCAAGGGUGCGAAUGGUAACGGAAACGUUAAAUAAACACGUUUCUGUUCUUUUUUGUUCCCAGGAACAAAAAAACCAAAAAACUGUUCAUAAACACAUUUCAGAAACAAAAACAUACAGGGCCUAAGCUUUUUAUGGACACAUAUUGUUCAAUAGAUAGGCUUUCAAUUUGUUGCGUUGGCACAACUUGUGUGGUCAAUAUUUUCUCCAUGUCUUAGUAGAAUGUAAAAAUAAGUAAAUGCUCAGCCCACGAACGCAUCUAUGUCCAUACACAUGUUUUCAGAAUUUUAUUAAUAUCAGCUAUACGAGAUUGUGCUAUAAAUAUAAUAACGCAAAGAGGCCUAAAAUCGGAAAAGCUCACCUAGAGAAACCCCGCAUUAUCUUCAAUCAAAUCCCUAGAAUGGGAAUGGAAGCUUUCUUGGCAUCGUCUGGUUGAUUGGAGCGAGGUGGAAUGGAAAUAAAAAUGGGGAAUAAAAAUUGCUUUAUUACUGCAUUUUUCGUUAACACGCGGGAAAGUGGAAAUGAGCGAUAAGGCAUGGGAAUGAGUUGACAGUCAAAGGUAAAUUGACAUGUGCACUAAGCUUCGUAUUUGGUAACUGUUGUUUGGACAUAAUAUGGCAAACAUACUUACCUAAUUUACUAUUAUAUAGCAAUUUAAAACGAUAAAAUUCCACCCAUUACUACAUACGUUCCAAUUCCGAUGUAUUAUCAAAUGCAGUGAUCUUCAAAUCAAUCGCUAUUCUGAUUCACUACAAGCAAUUCCAUUUCCCUCUAGUUAUCUCAUGCUUAUGUAACAAAUCAGCCAAAGAAACAAUUUAGAACUCGUAUGGACCACAUCCUCAUCUAAAAUUAAGAACAGAUCAAAGUGCAUGAACCGCAAAAAUUAGGACCAUGAGCGCACGCAUGUCUAGUCUGUCUAAUUCUAUAUUUAUAUAGUGGUAGAUAUAUCCAAUAUGACCUCACUACAUACAUCCAAUUUCCACUCUGGAAUACGUAAUUAAUUGAUUAGGCUUGUUCUUCAUGACUUAUUUUUCCUCCAAUUGCCUUCAUGUUACCUCUUUUGGAAGCAUUCAGUUGAUCUACAUGCAUUGUUUGGACAUGAAGAACUAUUUUAAUAGUUCAGUUUUCAUAAAAAUAUACCAGCUCGAGAUUAUCAAUGGUGUGUGUAUAUGUAAUCUUGUGUACUAAAACUAGCUAAACUCGAAUGAUAUUCCAAUUUGGAUCUAAAAUACCAUUGCCGGAUAAUUUAAUGGAAUGCCAUCAAAUUGUUUUCCCCUAAUGCUACGUUAAAGUACGUAUUGCAUAACUUAGAUACUUUUACCCAAAAUCAUUCCGAAAAAAAUAUAUCAGGACAAAUUCAGAAGUUUUAUAGGAGAUAAUCAUGGAUUAAUAUAGUUUCGUUCCAUUCUUAUAAGAACCAUUCAAAGGAAUUUAUUUCUUCACGUGGGGAGCAAACUCUGCCUUUUUUUAGUCAAUUGUUGACUUGGUUUUGAUUAAUUAGACAUAACUAAAUUCAUUUUUGCUCAAGGUUUGCUGUUUGACAUAUAAUAUCAAAAAUAUAUUUCAAAACUUCACCGCUACAUAUUUACAAUACCCCGCAACAUUGCACGAGAAGUAGCAAAGCUUUUGCUGUUCACAUACCCGUCUGAGCACCUGGGAAAGCCUACUCUCCCAUCUAAUACUGUACAAUUAAGUUAGGUCAAUAUAUCCAACUUCCAUGAUUUUAGGUAUGUGAAUGUGAAUCCACCAGUUGCCAAAUGAAGGACACGAAAGAAAAAGGAAAUAAGUUAACCACGCGGGCAGGAUUGAGAGAUGUGUAUUUUUGCAGGCUACGUAAUGUCUCCGAAUAUAUAGUCAUGAGAUACGGUCCACAAACAAAUGUACGACCAUUCAGUACUCAUUUUCCCAUUUGUCAACUAGGCAUAUUGCUGCAUUACUCAAUUGCAUUCAUUUAACUAUAUGUAAUUUAUUGUUGGAUGACGUACACAUUGCAUCGUAUAAUGUACAUAGAAAUUUCAAUAUUGUUACCGGUACCCACAUGAUCUCGUGAAACAAUAUUUCGAACAAUCUUCUAAAUCUUCUUGAUAAAUAUGCCAUGCACUUGGUACCAAACUAAAAAGCAUUCCGCAACUCUCCCGCUAUGUAAACAUAGUCGACUUGCUAUAUUACUAUCUUUACGAGCUUUUGGAGAAUCGAAGUCGCAAUGUCAUCCAAUAGCAGGGGAUCGAGAAGCAAGAAAAACAUAUUUAGCAAAGCAUGGAACGUGUUCAAGGGGAAACGGGGUUCUUGAGAAGUCUCGUCUAGCAGGACCUAUUGAGAUGUCACCACGUCACCGGUAAGCUCAUUGGUAAAGCCUAUUAAAUUAAUGUCUCGAGUUUGAAUUUGGAUAAUGAUUUGUAAAUCGAAUUUAUUGAUAAAAAUUUUUCAAAUAAAUUUUAAAUUGGAUGAAAAAAAAUUCGUUGGAUUCUUGAAGAUUUAUGAAGGAGGAAAUAAUAGUAUAAAGGAAAAAGGGGAGCAAAGUUUUCUUUAUCUGAGGAGGAGGCCGAAUAAGGUUUGUUACAUGGGGCCAAAGUCAAGUCUUGACUUUUGGGCACACAUAUAAAUAAAAGGCAAGUCUCCGGGAAGAAAAGCUGUCCAAACCUCUCUGCACGUGGAGCCGAAAAAAGAGCUGGUGAGCCCAAGUCAGAUAUUUGAAAAAAGAAUUGGUGAGCUCAGGUCAAAUAUUUGAAAAAAAGAGUGGUGAGCCCAGGUCAAAUAUUUGACCUUUGGGCUCACGAAUUUCCCUUUUUGGUGUGCGUGAAACGGCUUAAGAAAAACCCCCCACGAAAUAAAAGGAGCCGCCGCAGUCGUACAAGUGAAAAAGGAGCCGCACGUAGGAGAAUAUAGAAGCCACGGGAAGCUGUACAUAGAGCGUUUUGUUUUGAGCUUUGAUAAUUUUAUACCGUGAGUUAUAAAAACUUUGAAUUUAAAGUUAAAUCUAGAUAUAGAAAAUAUUUGAGCAUGUAAGUGAUUGUAAACUCUGAUUCUCUAAUUAUAGUGGAUUAUUUGCUGCUGAAUCUUCCCGUAGACGUAGGUACCGAUACUCGGACUGAAUUACGUAAAUUUCGGAUAUCCUUAUUAUUUCUCGUUUAUUUCUUUGGUGAUUUCGCGUUGAUGUAAAUUGCAAAAUCAUGUUGUUUCCGCGUAUUAUAUUUCAACAGAGCCUCAACGGAACUAUCGGGAUGUUGCCACGUCUCCGGUGAGCUGGAGAUCCUCAAGCAAGUCCCAGUCCCGAGUGAGUUCUCGGAGCUCACUGAUGGAGUCUCAGCGGAGAUCCUCGAGUGUCAGCCAAAGCGACGACCAUUAUUACAAUUCUAGUGAAGACAAUCCAUGGCGAGCAAGCUACAGGCAUGGCGCUCUCGCCUAUCGUGGUGAUUACGAUCAAGUGCGAGUGAGAUCGUACCCGUGACCACUCCGGCAGGAAUAUGAUUAUUUUUAUCACACUAGUAUGGGGCAGUAUUAUUCUUGGGGUCUUGACAAUGUCAAUAGUUACGUCCAUGACGACGCGUCUGUUCCACCAUAUCUGCCCCCGCAUACUUCUUAUGGUUAUCACCGUCCAUCCGAGUCUCCCCCGAAUAAUUGUGCGGUGAUGUGAGAUGCCUAAUAUAGUGUGGCUAUAGUUGGUAUUUACUAAUAUCUGGUGAAGUACGGGAUGAGCUAGGGGCAUGGUUGAGCCAUUGGUUUGUUAGCUUUCGCUUGUGAAUCUCAGUGAAGUUUCUUGUUUUAGUUAGUGGUUUCGAACGUGAUGGAGUUUGAUUGAAAUCGCUUUGCCAGUUAACGAAGGUUAUAUACUUAUUUUAUGAAGUUUCAUCUAGUUCGUAGAUGCUAAACAUUUCUAUUAAAAUUUUACUAAAAUUAAGGGCACUUAAUUCCAUCAAUUGUCUAGGGUUCUACUUCUAUGAACAGAUGUUCCCUAACCAAUCAUUUAUCACAAAAACUAAACCAAAUGAAAAACGAUUUAUAAAAAUAGUAAAAAAAAAAAGAAAAAGAAAAAUUGGCCACGCCAUUCCUUGGAAAUUCUUCAUUCUUCAAGGAAGACCUUUAAGGAUCCAAGCUUUCUUGUGAUCCUUCGUGUUCAAACUUCAAGUAGCUUUGAAUGUGCAGAUAUACAUUGAAAUUCGUCUUUCCAGAUGCUUAUGGCAUCUCCAUUGAGAUGCAUAUACAUGGAGGAAAAACUUUUCAAGCUCAUCCAUUUAAAAAUUGGGCUUCUUGCUUGAUGAAAUUCAGUGGACAAAGACGAAAGAAAACGUUUUCAGUUAAAAAGAUCAAAACCGAAAAUAUUCUCCACUCAGUCCGUCGGAAGCAAUUGAAUUGUUGAUGUAUCGACAUAAUAAUAAAACAGGAAAGAGAUUUAUUUAUUUCAAUAUCUUCUUUAGUGAAAAAUAUAGUAAUCUAUUUAUAAAUUUUAUGAAGUGACUAUCUGAAAUAACAAAAUAUUACACAUAUCAAUGACGAUCAAUGAAAAACCAUUCAAUGAUAUGCAUAAUCAAAUGAACAUAGUGCACAAUUAUGAUAGAUAUACAAAAUCAAUGGAGAUUUAAAGAAUCUACUUUAUAUAGAGACAUAGAAGAAGUCAAUUGCAGGUUGGUGCCUUAGUGAAUAUAUUAGCAGUCUUAUCAACUGAAGAAGUGGAGACAAGAUGCGCAAUGUCACGAAGCACGUGAUACACGUGAAACGAUAGUCUCUUUCAAUAUGUUUGGUGCUUUUAAAAAAAAAAACAUUAUUAUAUGCUUUUUGGAUCCAAUUGUCCUAAUAAAUAAGUAUUCUGCCGUUAAGAUGACACUUAUAUGUCCUCUAAUAACCAUUACAAAUACAGUAAUUUUGAUGUUGUAUUAGCAAAAGCAUGAUAUUCAGCUUUCAUGCUAGAUGGAGCGACAAUGGUCUAUUUAUCGUUAUGCUAUAAGAUAAGUGAGUUACUUAGAAAGAAGCAGUAGCGUGUAGUGAAGUAAUAAUCAAGAGGGUCUCCUGCCCAAUGAGCGUUAGAUUUAGUUAAAAAGAUUGAACUGAAAAAUGAUCUCCACUCAAUCUGUUGAAAACAAGUGAAUCACUUAGUUCAAUGGAAGAAUCGCCACAUGAAUAAUGGGUAAGGGAUUUUGUCUCAGGGAAUAAACUAUGAAUCCAUUAAAGCUCCAUUCGUUUCACGAAGCACAAUUUCCAGAAAAGUACUUUUUGGAUUUUCUGACAUUCAUUUCCUAAAAAAUGAACUAAUUGUGAAAAGCAUUUUCCAUCGACAAAAAGAGUUUUCUAAAAUAGAGAAAAUGGUUUCCACUUUUCAAGAUGAAGAAAACAUUUUUUCUUACUUAGUUUCUCUUAUCUCAUACCUAUGUCAACCUUUUCAUCUUUUUUCCUUGAAAAAAAUCGAAUUUUCAAUUAUUUUUCCUUUUCUUGUUUUUCACUUUCAAGCUCGAAACUCAUUGGAAUUUGGCGAGUCUUAAGCUCGCCUUUGGCCAGUCGCUGGCCAUCACCAUGGUUGAUCAAAGAAGAAGAAUAUAAAAAGAAAGAAAAGAAAAAGAAAAAUUAAAAUAAUUUAAAAAUCGAUUUCAAGAAAAAAAAUUUAAAAAAAAUUAUUGAAAAAGAGUGCAUGGAGGAAAACAUUUUUCUUAUCGAACAACAGAAAAUAUUUUAUAAUUUAUUUUCAAAUUUCAGUUGCACACUACAAAAUAUAGCUACCUUCUUGAAAAAUGGUUUCCUAGAAAAUAACUUUUGGAAACAUCACAUUUUAUGUGAAAAGAAUAGAAUCUUAAUUGAAAAAUGAUUCGUUUGACAUAGCCUGGAGAUAGGCUUCUUUGUCCAUUGGCAACUAGGAAUACAACCCCAAAGUGCCAUUAUUAUUAUUUUGCCCCAAUUUCAAAUGCAAAUAGGCCUUCUAUUUAUUUUAGGGAAAAUUGCAAAAAAGGGCUCGAAGUGUUCUCAUCUUCUCAAGUAAGAGCUCGAAGUGGACCUUAUUUCAAAUAAGCGCCUGAAGUGCUAUCACUUUAUCAAAUAAGGGAUUGAAUUGAAUUUUCUUUUGAAUAAGGGCUUGAAAUGGUUAUGCCCGUUUCAAAUAAGAGUCUAAAGUAAUUAUAUUUAUUUUAAAUAAGGGCUUUCUCUUCUUUUUUUCCCUUCCUUUUUUAUGGUUCUUCUUCUUCCUCUUCAUCGGUGGUCAAAAGGUUGGGCGAGGAUCGUCUUCACCCAAUUCGGCGAGUGCCACCCGUAUCAACCAAAAGUGAGGAACGGGUUCACCUAGGUGAGGCCACCCUUGCGGCCAUUUGCAAGGGCUCGACAACCUCGUCGGCCACGGGUGAGGGUGGCCUCGCUCACAAUCAGCAAGGGCUUGCAGGCCAUUGUUAGCCAUUCCUAGUAGCUAGCAAGAUCGUUGACCCCUUGCAAAGAAAAAAUAAGAUAAAAGAAAAGAAAAUUUGGAUGAAAACUUCUUGGCUGGUUGGAUAAUUUAGUUGGCCGACAACCGCCGAAGUCGGACCAUUAUUUAAAACAACAAUGGCUAUAUCAAUGCCUUUAUUUAAAACAAUUGAUGCCAUUUCAAAUUCUUAUUUGAAAUAAGGUCUAUUUCGGGUUUUUAUUUGAAAAAAUGAGGCACUACAAGACUUUUUUUUGAAAUUUUCCCUUUAUUUUAUUUUAGGUUGCAAUUCAUGCCCGUGGACUGAACUAAAAUAUACUCUUUCUCUCUCUCUCUUUUUUUUUUUUUUCAACUUAAAAAAGCCGCUUGAUCAAAUAUUAUUUAUCUUUAGCAAAUGCACCUUGAAUCAAGGGGGAAAUGACUUCGCAUUUCUUCAGAAGUCUUCCAAACGCAAGUGCUCAUGUCAACAUUUGCAUCAAGAUUUCUAACCUUUCGUUUCGAAAAAGUAUAGUUGCUGCGAUUUUUCUUUUCGUAUUUUAUAAAAUAAAAAUAAAAAGUCAAAAACACACGGCGCAUCACGUUGACCAUCAACAGUCAAUGCAUGCCGAUCAGCAGGCGCUGUCCAUGUCUCGAUCUCAUCGUCACAAGCGAAGAAUGUGAACCAAGCGAUCAACCAUCGAUCUUCGAAGGAGAAGACUUCACAGAUUGCGCUUCUUCCGUCGGCGAUCGUCCUCACUUCCUCUCCAAUCGCCUCCCAGCUUCCUCCUGCAUCCUGAAAAUCCGUAUGGCGGCGGCGCUCGUCGGCGGAGCAUUUCUCUCGGCUUUCCUCCAGGUGCUCUUCGAUCGGAUGGCCUCCCGCGAGGUCGUCGACUUCUUCCGGUCGCGCAAGCUCGACCAGGGGAGGCUGCUCCAGAAGCUGGAGGCUGCGCUCCUGUCCGCGAACGCCGUGCUGGACGACGCGGAGGAGAAGCAGAUGACCAACGACUCCGUCAGGAAGUGGCUCGACGAGCUCAAGGACGCCGUGUACGACGCCGACGACCUGUUCGACGAGAUCGCCACUGAAGAUCUGAAGUGCGAAGCCGGGGUCGAGCCUCGGGCUCUCGUUUCUAAGGUCUGGAGCUUUGCUGCAGACGCUCGUAGGAGUAAAUUGGGGGAUAAGUUAGAGAGGGUUCGGGAGAGAUUGGGGGAUAAGUUAGAGAGUAAAUUGGGGGAUAAGUUAGAGAGGGUUCUGGAGAGAUUAGAGAGCGUGGUGAAGCAGAGAGAAGUGCUGGGCCUAAGGGAAGGCAUUCGCAGGAGGACGGCUAGAGCUUUGCCGACCACUUCGUUGGUCGAGGAAUUGGGAGUUUUCGGGAGGGAGAAGGACAGGGAGGCGGUGAUCGACUUGCUCUUGUCAGAUCGGGGCGAAAAUAACACCAGCGUGAUGGCCAUCGUUGGGAUGGCCGGUGUCGGUAAGACAACGCUAUCUCAGCUCGUGUUCAACGAUGUUGCGGUGAAGGGGAGUUUCGAGUUGAGGGCGUGGGUUUCCGUGUCCGACCAAUUCGACAUCUGCAAGCUGACGGCGACGGCUCUCGAGGAGUUCUCCUCCCCGUCUAAGAAGGAGACCGAAAAUCUCAACCAGCUUCAGCUCCAACUGAAGGACUUCUUGACUGGGAAGAAAUUCCUAUUGGUGUUGGAUGAUGUUUGGAAUGAGGACUCAAAUCUUUGGGAUGCGUUCCUAGUUCCAUUUAUCUAUGGAGCAAGAGGCAGCAAAAUCGUCGUGACGACACGAAAUGAAAAUGUCGCAUCGGUUGCUCGUGCCUUCUCGAAAUACUAUUUACAGAAGUUACAAGACAAGGAAUGUUGGGACUUGUUCGCAAAACAUGCAUUUGACGAGCAUAACUUCGAGGCGCGCACGAGACUUGAAGAAAUCGGGCGAAGAAUUGUAAAGAGAUGUGAUGGAUUGCCUCUUGCGCUGAAGACUAUAGGUAGCUUGUUACGCGGUGAGUCUGAUAUCAGGAAGUGGGAAAAUAUUGCAGAGAGUUAUAUUUGGAAUUUGGCACCUGGAAAGAAUGGAAUUCUCCCUGCGUUGUUGUUAAGUUAUCAUUACCUUCCUCCACAACUGAAACGAUGUUUCGCUUAUUGUUCACUCUUCCCAAAGGAUUGUAUAUAUGAGAAGGACCAGCUGAUCUUACUUUGGAUGGCUGAGGGUUUGAUAGAACAACCUAACGACAGCAGGACAUUAGAGGAGGUAGGUGAUCAAUGCUUCUGUGAUCUUGUGUCUAGAUCUUUGCUUCAUAGAGUAAGUGAUGUCGAAUCAAGCUUCUCGAUGCAUGACCUGGGAGUAAGCGAUGUGAAAUCGAGCUUUUCGAUGCAUGACCUGGUCAAUGACUUAGCAAGAUAUGUAGCUGGUCGUUCUUUUUUCAGCUUGGACGGAGGCAAUGCACACCAAGUGUCCUCAAGCACUCGCCAUUUGUCAUUUGUAAGAACUCAAUGUGAUGUCGCUUCCAGAUUCAAAGUGCUAGCCGGGGCAACGAAUUUGCGUACUUUCCUGCCGCUGAACGUGGAUCAUGUGAGAUUUCGCGAGUGCAAUUUGUUGACUGAUGAGGUACUGCAUGUUCGGUUGCCGCCCCUGAGACAGUUAAGGGUGCUAUCUUUGUCUCAUUAUUGGAAAAUCUCUACGUUGCCCAGUUCAAUUGGACGUUUGAAGCAUCUGCGCUAUUUGAAUCUCUCCCAUAAUGAUAGUCUAAUCAGAUUGCCUGAUACAAUUACAGCUCUAUACAACUUGCAAACCUUAAUUCUUGCUUACUGUUGUUCUCUCGUUGAGUUACCGAGCAACAUGGGCAGCCUAACCUGUCUGCGUCAUCUUGAUAUAAGGAAGACAUCCCUGAAGAGAAUGCCACAGGGGAUGAACAGACUGAAGAAUUUGCAGAUAUUAACUAAUUUCGUGGUGGCCAAAAACGAUGGGACUAGGGUUAGGGAGCUAGGGGAGCUAGGGGAUCUUAUGGGUACACUCUCCAUACAGGGUUUGCAGAAUGUUGAUAGUUACCGAGAUGCUGAGACAGUCAAUUUGCGGGAAAAGAGGUACUUGAAAAAGUUAGUACUGCAAUGGGGUUCUGAUAACAAUAUUAUGCAGCAAAAUUGCUUAAAUGUAUUGGACGAGCUGCAACCUCACUGGAACUUGAGAGAGCUUAUCAUUACAUCCUAUAGUGGUAGGUCAUUUUCCAAUUGGCUGGGACACAGUUCAUUCUCUAAUAUGUCUGUCGUGCGUCUUGAGACAUGCAAGCACUGUGUGUCAUUGCCUCCUUUAGGACAGCUACCAUCUCUGGAGAGGUUGAUAAUCGAAGGAUUUGAUGGAGUUACAAGUGUGGGUACUGAAUUCAAUGGUAGUAACUGUAUACCUUUUCAGUCACUAAAGUACUUGGAAUUUGCUGACAUGCACAGUUGGAAAGAGUGGGCUUCUUUUGCAAUAGAGACAAGAGGUCUUACCUUUGCACAUCUGCAGCAGCUUUGUAUUAGAAAUUGCCCGCGGUUGAGUGGAGGUUUACCCGGCCAUCUCCCUUCUCUAACAACCUUGUCCAUUGGAAAGUGCCCACAGCUAGCGUCUUCUCUACCAAUUGCACCACUUCUCCGUGAGAUCAAGUUGGAUGAUUGUGGAAAGGUUUCGGGAGUUGAGCCUCUCGUAAAUGGCACUGAGUUACGAGAUAUUGAAAUCAAGAAUCUUUCAACUCUUCCCUCGAGGUUUCUUCCUCCUACCAUGACAAGACUCCAUCUUGAAGACUGUCAUGAAAUAGAGUUGCCAAUACAUAGAUGCCAUGAAUCUCUCCAACAUCUAAACUUAUGGCGGAGCUGCGAUUCACUUGUAUCCUUUCCUCUGGAAAUUUUCCCCUCGCUUAAGAAAAUUCAGUUGCGGGAGAUUCAAAAUUUGGAACGUCUUUCAAAUUCAUACGGUUCUCCACUUCUUUCGAUGUACAUUAGUUGUUGUCCUGAAUUUAGAUCUUUCCCUGCGAAAGAAUUUUCUGCCCCAUGCCUCACUUCAUUAGAGUUGGAUCACUGCUGUCAUCUAAACUAUCUGCCAGAAAACAUGCAGGCUCUCCUUCCUUCGCUUCGGUCACUGAAAAUAUCCUCAUGUCCACAACUCGAGUCAUUUCCCGAGCGGGGUUUACCCUCCAAGUUGGUGGCGCUUUCACUCUUUGAUUGUAACAAGCUCAUCACUAGCCGCCAGGAUUGGGGUCUUAAGUCACUAUGCUCUCUUGAAACUUUUGCCAUUGGGCAAGACAAAAAUAUAGACUCAUUUCCUGAGAUAGGGCUUCUGCCAACCUCUCUUACCUUUUUGAAUAUAUUUGGCUUUGAGAAUCUGACGUCCCUGAACUCCAAAGGGCUUCAUAGCCUGAGCUCUCUUGAAAAACUUUUUAUUAACCAGUGUCCUAAGCUCCAUUCGUUCCCAAAAGAGGGACAAAUUCUGCCGCCUUCUCUUACCAGUCUGGUGAUUUUUAAUGUGGGUCUAAAAUCACUGGAUAACUUAGGGCUCCACCACCUCACUUGUCUCAAAAACUUCCGCAUAGUUGGCUGCGGAAGUCUUCGAUCCAUGCCAGCGAAGGGCUUGUCAUCCUCCCUUUCCUAUCUAUUUGUCCAUGGGUGCCCUUUGCUGGCGAAAAGAUGCCAGCGGAAGAAAGGAAAAGAUUGGCUCCUAGUUUCGCACAUUCGCUGCAUCGUGAUUGAAGGUGUGCUCGUCACAUGAUCUUAUAUCUUGUUUUACAAUCCCUCCUUUUACCAAGAUCUCACUCAGGUGUCUCCCUUGGCCCUACACUAAGUAAGCUAUUUAUUUAUUCACGACAUACUUCAGUCGCUCUGUGAUCAAGCACUAACAUCUGCCUGUAUUUGCCACAUGCUACUCUAAUAAUGCUCCACAAUGGAGAUUAUAUGUAGUUUUACCGGCUUUCCAUUGUUGUUCCUACAAUUGGGCUGCAUAAUUUAUUUAUUGGUUGACGAAUUAUUUAGCUAGAGCGCCUACUUUUCCCCUUCUCCAUUCUCUCUAUAUAAAUCGCACUGCCAUACUUCAGCUAAGCAUCUGUCACAAUCUUUAUACCCUCAUCUGGAAAUGAUUAUUUUAUUGCUACUUUAUGUUGCCAUCAGUUAACAGUAGUUAAUAGAGCAAAGAGAUUCAUGGCCAUCUAAAGAAGGCCUAGCCUUGAUUGGGCCAUCCGGAUGAAAUUAUUUUUUCUCACGUCCUCAAGUUAAAAAGAGAAUAAAUUUGCUCUUAUCAACGCAUGCUUUCUGUUGCAUAAAGCUGGAUAAUAUUUCGAGGGAGACGUAAAUUCUUAAGACUUGGCAUGACUCAUGAAUGACCUGUGCUACGCUUGCUAGAACAGUGUGGUAUCAUGGGUGGAGUGUGUUUCUGUUUGCUUUAUAUUUUUAUUUGUCAAUUUCAGCUUAACAUCACUCUAAAGUUGUACAAUUUAACAAAUAUUCCCUACCGACAUGUAGAAUUCUAAUCCAUGGAAUGUGAAAAUGAACAGUUCAAGAGAUGCGAGUGACUCGGUUUUUUGUAGUGACAUCUCCACUUUUGUCACUAAUUAUAUCAUGAUAUCCAACUAAAUCCGUCAAACAGAAGUCUAAAAAAAGUGUGAAAAAGUUAGGUUUUUAUUUGUUGAAGUUGAAAGUUUGCAUCUCAAAAUGCAAUUUGAUCAAAUUAUAUGAACCUAUUGUAAUUUACCCUAUUUUGAGAGAAUAUAGUUUCUUUUGAGGGAAUUUAAGUGGUUUUAUGUGCACUAACUGUUGAGGAGCUUCUGUGGUUGGAGAUAGAGCUGGAAAUGUAUUGCUGGCUUUUAGCUCGAUUAGAGUAUCCUUUAGUUGUUAAUACUUGUCUUUCAAUCAUUGCAGGUGGAGUGCUUCUAGAUGGGGCUAGACUAACUAAUGUUCCAAAAAUACAUUAUGCAUCCACGAUUAGCAAUACAGGCACUUGCUUUAUUGAGAUGCAUGAAUGAAUUGUGUUAGAAAAAGUCGAACAAUGUGGGAUUAGUAUUGGCAUGGAAUAGUUAAUAUAUCUUAGUUGGCCAUUGCUUUAAGCUUUUGAGUAAAAGUGGCCUAACUGGAUUAAUUGAAAGGUUUGGACUUGGUCUCUCUCUUGGUUUCCGCUACGCGCUCCCAAGCCAAUCAUUGAUUGGUGGCAACCUGUUGGCGCAAAAGAAUACUUGGAUUAAGGAGGAAGUAUACUAAACAUCGAGCUUACAUGUAAGAGGGAGAUAAGAACUGAUGUGGUGUGGACUUAAUAUAUCUUAGUUGGUCCAUGAUUCAUUGACUUAAGCUUUUGAGUAUAUGUUAGGUCCGACUAUAUUUAUUGACGAGGUCGAACUUAGGUUCUCUCUUGGUGAUCUCCCAUGUGAUGGCAUUGGGUUUUUGCUAGGCACUACCAACAUGCAGUGGUGGAUGUCGAAUUCUGCUUUGGAUGGACCUAUUCUUCUCCCACGAUAUCAAGAUAGUUUCAGUAAGAGGGUUGUGAGACAGUAAUGCUCAGUCUUCGCAAGAUGAGUGGAUUCUGAGGAUAUGGAGCAGCAUAGGCAAUGGGAUGGUGGAAAUUGGCAAGGAAAACAAAUCCAUUUUUCAUGCAGUCAGCAAGCCAAGUGAUCACUGGAAAUGACAGAAUCAAGGUCAACUAGGAGUAUCGAAAUUUCAUUGUCACUUUGCAACUUGUGAGAAAUUGUUUACCGAUGAGUGCGAGUGCAGGAGAGGCACUCCAAUGCGAUUGCAACGUUUAAUUAAACGCAACAACAUGCCAUGGGGAAGUACUUGCCUAAUGGUUUGGUUCGAUUGUUGUUUAUGCAAGCUGACACUUGUCGUAGUGGAGAAACAAGAAACCAUUCAAGGUAAAGCGGAUCCAAAGCAUGACCUGUAGUUGUACAUCCCAGGUGUCGAUGUUGUAGCAUUGGAAGCAAGGAUCAUAUCGGAAACUGAUGAUGGGCAUGAGAUGAGUGGGUUAUGGAGAGAUUGUUUGAUAUAGCUUUUCGAUGGUAGUUGUGACAGUAAAACUGGAUGCUUUUGCUUUCGCAAGGUAACAUCUCAUAAUUAUCAUAUGGAACCGGGAAGCUGUCCCGUCUAGCUUUUAGCUGUUGCUAUGUGUUACUUGUGACAUCCUGAUUUCGAGUCUGAUUUCGAUGAGAUGAAAUGGGCUUUUCAUCGACGCGCUUAUAGCCUUAUUCUCUGAGAGGGGCCCUCAUGGGUGAAAUCAUUAAUGGAUUUUAACGCAAUAAACUUGAGAAUUCGACUAAGAGUCGACUACUCGACCGUGUUGAUUUGCAAGGGUCAUUACGACAUUGCCAGAAAUCGAUCAGGGACCAGAGUGUGGGUGAUUCCACCUGAUUGCAAAAUAAUCAUCGAUCGACACUAGACCGAUUUUUCUAUCGUUUUGGUACCCGGUACCCGUAAAUGAAAUCUCGAGAUUUUCACGACAAUUGAGGGUCGCCAAUAUGUCGAAGAUAUACAAUGUGACUCGAGAUAAAUUGAUCACAGGUCAAUUGCACCAAAAAUUCCUAGAAGUUAUCCGGUCAUGCUAAAAGCGUGCCGAAUUGAAAUUAAUCGCGAACUGGAACCUGAUUUCAGAAAUCGAAAGUUCUGUCAUGUUACAAUCUAUUUUAGGAAUUUCGACUCAUCCUUCAAAGAAUUUUCGGAGAUCCUGGUAUUUUUAUGGAAAUUUGUUUCAGACGUUGCGGAAAAUUAGCGGAAAUUCGGAUGAACCAAAUUAAAAAAAAUUGGGACUUCCAAGCCGAGCCUUUGAGCGUCAGAGACUUACAGAAAAUUGUUUGGGUUGUUUCCUUGGCAAAAUUGGACCUCAAUACGGAGAUUUGAGUGAGGAAUUGAAGUUAAUAUUGGUAAAAUUCGGAUUAAGGCAUGGGGAAGCAUCUUUGGCUUCAAAAAUUGGAUAAUUGGUGGUUUAUUUUGUGGAUUAUAAGGCUGGAAAGUAUUAUGAGACAUUAGAAUAUUUGUGAGGAGUUUGAGGGGACCAAGCAAUCAAUGGAAGGGAUAGAAUUGGUGGGCUUCUUUAGCAAGUCAAGGCCGCCGCCCUCCUCCUUCUUGCGUUUCAAUCCGUCGACCCCUUCUGCUUUUGCUCUCGCUCUCAUUAUUUGCUUUCUACCUCAUCCCCAUUUUCAUUUAUUCCUCACGCCUCUUCCCAUCAUCAUCACCAAUCCAUCAUCCAACGUCCACCAAUUUCUCCACUCACUCUCUUCCUCGCAGCCAUAUAAGCCCACGAACGAAGCCUCCACUAAGUCAAACUUUCUUGGCCUAUUUUGGUUGUUGACUCCUCUUGCCGGGCGUCUUUCAAUCCACGAGACUGCAGCUCCACCACUUCCUCUCUCUCUCUCGUUGAACCCUCUGCCAUCUCACGUCCGAAGUUCCAUCCCUCUUCUCCACCGAAAUUCAACAACAGCUGAAGACCACUGAAGCCACGAAACAGCUUCCGUUCAUCCACCGAGAUCCCAUCUCUUAACGUGCUGCUGCCUGCCACUCCAUGCUAGCGCCUUUUGAAGACCGAGCAAAUCAACGCCUCCAUGAUUUCCAUUUGUCCAGCAACCGAAUCUACACGUCCCAGCUUCUUCGGUCAAAACCCCAAGUCGAAGCCCUUCCAUCAUCGACCGAAGCCGUCCCACGAAUCGUCCAGCAGCUUCGGUCUAUUUCAUCUCGUGGAUCAGCCGCAACAAAGUCUGCAGCCCAUCCAACCUGUUCUCAGCCCAGUUGAAGUCUUCAAGUCCAGCAAGUGUCUUCGGCCCAUUGGAUUUUGGCCCAAUCUAGCGAAGCCCAACAAGAUCAGAAGCCCGCAAUUUUGGGGCCCAAGCCCACAAAGUCAGCCCGCUUCAGGCCCGGUCCAAUUCAAAAACAAAUCUCAUAGUGGACUAAGAUUUGUUGGGCCCGUUUUAGACUCGACCCGAGUGUUCGCCAACGCCGCCGAAAAUUCAGAUUUCGGCCGUUGUCGCGUCGUCAUUGCGGUGAACCGGUUUCCGCAAUUAACCGGUGAGUUUAUUUACUAAACUCUUCUUAGUAGACUAAUGACGUCUAAGGGGUGUUUAGAUUUAUUUAAUUAGAAAUUAGGUGGUUAGUUAGAUUAAUUUAGUGAUUUAAUUAUGUACUUAUGCAUGUUAGGUGGUUAAAUUAGAUUAAGUGAGGCCUAGAUAAAUUGUGUUAUUUAUCUAGAAGGGUUCGGGAAUUUUCCGGGUCCGUAUUGGUAUUUAAUUUAGUGAUUUUGGCCUAGGUUGGCAUUUUAGUAUUUAAAUUGAUUUAUUUAAUUAAUUUUAGAAAUUAUUUAAUAAUUAAUUCUUUUUCGGAAAUUAGUCCUGGAUAGCUGGUGACUGGAGUUGCGUACUGAUUGCAAUGGUGUGUUCAAUUUUUGCAGUUGGAUGUUAAUUUGUGCAAAUUGAGUGCUGAUUCAAUUCCAAAAAUUAUGAAUUUCGAUAUUUAUUCAGAAAAUCCCGAGUAUUGGGUUUUAACACCAAAAAUAGUUUUAUACACUAUAUAAACCAGUGGGAUUUUAAAUUGGAGAUAUCAAUUUUUCUAGUGUAAAUUGACCGUGUACCCAUACACAACUAUUUUACCGUGUAUUUAUAAUACGAAGAAAAUAGGCCAGGUUCACUAUUUUAAUUGAGACAUUUGAGUACAAUGCACAGUGUCCUGGGUCGAGAUUGAUUGGUCGUGUGUUGGUUAAGAAAAACUGUCAUAGGCUAUUAAGCCGGACGUUACCCAUUCAUUGGGACUCGGGUCGUAGUAGAUUUUGGACCUACGCUCCUUUGGGAAAGCCGUCUAAUUGAGAGACGUCGUCGUGCUCAUGGUGGGAGACAAAGCCUGGUUAUGCCAGAAGACACCAAACUUAUGAGUAGGUUGUACUCAGGUUGCAGUAGAUUUUGGACCUACGCCCCUUCAGGGAAGUCGUCUAAUGGAGAGACGUCAUCGUGCUCAAAGGAGGUGAGACGACGCCUGGCAAUGCCAAAAGACCGCCAAUUUUGGAGUUAGCCGUACCUUUAACUGGUAUAAUUAACAAUUGGAACACAUGAUGGUUGAGUUUGAUGCACUUGAUUAUGAGAUCAAAACUGUGUGGCGUGGAACAGGUUCCUAGUGAUUAAUUGAAUUGAUGAGAUGUUCCAGUUGUUAUGUGCAUUAGUUAUAUGCAUUGCGAUAUGAAUUAUACUGACCUGCAUGAAGGAACUGAGGCGAGGUAAGUUCCUUGUUCUAAUUGUAUGGUUGUGUGGCUAGAGCGCCCUGAAGCGUAUUUCCCUCCUAAUCAGGGUUUAAUGGGUGUACUUGCUAAAACAUUGUUUCACUGGUUAUUGAAUAACCAUUUUCAGGUCCUUAGAAGGCGGUCGUGGAAGACCAAGGUCUCAAAGUCUAAGGAGGAGAAAUAUGGAGGACCAGUGGAUAUGUCCUAUCAGUAUGUCGUAGAACAGCCUCUUGUGAGAGUCGAUCAUUUUCUAGGCUUUCGACUAAACUCGUUUUGUGCCUGAAUCUCGUUGUUUAUAGAAGUGUGCUUUUAUGAAUUGAUAUCAUUCUUUUCUAUCCUGAGAUAAUUAUUGUUAGGGGAUUUAUUUUCACUUCCGCAUGUGCUUAAAAAUCAAUGGGUCGGCGACUCGUCUGGGGAAGUCACAAAAUUUUAUCGACCAGAGAGGGAUGGGCACGCGCUUAGGGUUCGAGGCGUGACAUUACCAAAUGAUCGCAACUACGAUUAUACCAAACGGGCCCCGAGUUGAGCUUCAUAGUCUAUACAAGAUCGGGAGGGUUUGAAGAAUUGGUUGGUUGAUUCUUCCCUCUCUUUGGUUGAGUGGUUCAUCUCUUCUUCAAAAGCACCUCUAAUUCUCUAGGACAGACUUAAGCAAGGAGAGGGUAUAUCUCCUCCAUUCAAGCGUGUACCCCCAUUCAAGUGUGUACUCGUUUUGCUAUAGGAGGGUAUAACAUAUAAUGAAUAAGUGAAUUUGGGGUCUUGUACGAGUCGACUUAUUUGUCAUGUUUGAGUUUGAAAUCAUCAUAUGUACAUCAAAAGUAGUGGUGUAUGUAUAUAUAAGGAUGAACAACCUGAUUUGAAUGAAUCACAUAGUUAAGAAAGAUGAAUCAAAUAACCUUCAUUUCCAAUUUCAAAAUCUGUAAAGGCGUCAUUUCUCGAUAUGGAGAACCAGUACAGAAACCUUGUGGCUAUGCAAGAUAGACAAUUAUUUUGAAACGAUGUAGUGUAUUCUACUAGUCAACGCCGGCAUAACUAGCAGUGGAUGCCGAUCCUGAUGUAACUAUUUUGAAAUGAUGUAGUGUAAUAUAUCAACUCCAGCACAACUAGUAGGUGGAUGCUGAUCCUGAUUUAACUCCCACAAAUUCGCAAGUGAGAAGGGGAGAUGAAGCAUCUAAGAAAGAGAAAAACUCUUUCGCUCGCUAAAUAACUUGGACAUAUAGACCAACAAGAAUUGUGAUCUUCCUAGCACUAGCGUUCACCCAACCAAAACACCCACAGCAACUCGAAAGUGAUCGGGAAAAAGAUAGACUGCAAGACAAGAUGCACGACGCAAGUCAUAUCUCGCAACAUAAUAUCAUCAGGGUAGUUAACAAAUAGCAUCUCCUAGUCUCAAUUCGUCCAACUGAGGAACAACAUAGCACGACCCCUGUUUUAAACUGAAAUUUAUCAAUUUCUAGCAUCGCAUUCCCGAGCAUCAACUAGGCUAGACAUGUGCAUAAGAGUGAAGUCGUGCAUGAUUGUGCAGCAAACAGAGCACAAGAAGAAAACCACCUAACUGAUCCAACCAAACCUCAAAAACAGAAAUGGUUAUGGGUACGUACAGUCGUGAGGCAAACUCCUAUUGGACAGUUCCAAAAUGACCACCUAGCUCAAUACAGUUCUCCAUAGUUUACCGUAUCACUUGAUUAAAUAUCGUUUAUCUUGGGCGAAUGCACCUUAUUUUAGAAGGGAAAUGACCCCGCAUUCUUCAAAAGCCUUCCAAACGCAAGUGCUCAUGUCGAUAUUUGCAUCAACGUUUCCAAUGUCUCAGUUUCAAAAAAUUACAGUUUUUCUUUUUUAAUAAAAAAAACAGUCGAAACCACAUGGUCCAUCACGUUGACCCAUCGUUGGUCAACGUAUAUGCCAACCAGCAAGCGCUGUCCAUGUCCACUUCGAAGGAGAAAGACUUCACAGACCGCUGCUUCUUCUUCUUCUUCCGUCGGCGAUCGUCUUCACUUCUUCUCCAAUCGGCUUCCAGCUUCCUCCUGCAUCCUGAAAUUCCCUAUGGCGGCGGCGCUCGUCAGCGGAGCAUUUCUCUCGGCUUUCCUCCAGGUGCUCUUCGACUGGAUGGCCUCCCGCGAGGUCGUCGACUUCUUCCGGUCGCGCAAGCUCAGCAAGGGGAGGCUGCUGCAGAAGCUGGAGGCUGCGCUCCUGUCUGCGAACGCCGUGCUGGACGAUGCGGAGGAGAAGCAGAUGACCAACGACUCCGUCAGGAAGUGGCUCGACGAGCUCAAGGACGCCGUGUACGACGCCGACGACCUGUUCGACGAGAUCGCCGCCAACGAUCUAAAGCGAGAAGCCGGGUACGAGCCUCGGGCCCUCGCUUGUAAGGUCUGCAGCUUCGCUUCGGACGCUUGUACGAGUGGACUAGGGGAUAAUUUAGAGAAGGUUCUGGAGAGAUUGGAGAGCGUGGUGAAGCAGAGAGAAGUGCUGGGCCUAAGGGAAGGUAUUCGCGAGAGGACGCCUAGAGCUUUGCCGACCACUUCAUUGGUCGAGGAAUCGGGCAUCUUCGGGAGGGAGAAGGACAGGAAGGCGGUGAUCGAGUUGCUCUUGUCGGAUCGGGGCGAAAAGAACACCAGCGUGAUGGCCAUAGUUGGGAUGGGCGGUGUUGGCAAGACCACGCUAUCUCAGCUCGUGUUCAACGAUGAUGUGGUGAAAAGGAGUUUCGAGUUGAGGGCGUGGGUUUCAGUGUCCGACCAAUUCGACAUCUGCAAGCUGACGGCGAUGGCUCUCGAGGAGUUCUCCUCGUCUAAGAAGGAGGCCGAAAAUCUCAACCAGCUUCAGCUCCAGCUGAAGAACUUAUUGACAGGGAAAAAGUUUCUAUUGGUCUUGGAUGAUUUUUGGAAUGAGGACUUCAAUAUUUGGAAUGCGUUCCUAGUUCCUUUUACCUAUGGAGCAAGAGGCAGCAAAAUCAUCGUGACGACACGAAAUGAAAGAGUCGCAUCGGUUGCUUGUGCCGUCUCAACAUACCCUUUACAGAAGUUGCAAGACAAGGAAUCGUGGGACUUGUUCACAAAACAUGCGUUUGACCAGCAUAACUUCGAGGUGCGCUCGAGACUUGAAGAAAUCGGGCGAAGAAUUGUAAAGAGAUGUGAUGGAUUGCCUCUUGCGCUGAAGACUAUAGGUAGCUUGUUACGCAGUGAGUUUGGUAUCAGGAAGUGGGAAAUAAUUGCAGAGAGUGACAUUUGGGAUUUUCCACCUGGAAAGAAUGAAAUUCUCCCUGCGUUGUUGUUAAGUUAUCAUUACUUUCCUCCACAACUGAAACGAUGUUUUGCCUAUUGUUCAGUCUUCCCAAAGGAUUGUAGAUAUGAGAGGGACCGGCUGAUCUUACUUUGGAUUGCUGAGGGCAUGAUAAAACAACCUAACGACAGCAGGACAUUAGAGGAAGUAGGUGAUCAGUGCUUCUGUGAUCUAGUGUCUAGAUCUUUGCUUCAUAGAGUAAGCGACGUCGAAUCAAGUUUCUGGAUGCAUGACCUGGUCAAUGACUUAGCAAGAUAUGUAGCUGGUCGAUCUUUUUUUAGCUUGGAUGGAGGCAAAGCACACCAGGUGUCCUCAAGCACUCGCCAUUUGUCAUUUGUAAGAACUGAGUAUGAUGUCGCUUCUAGAUUCAGAGUGUUAGCUGGGGCAAUGAAUUUGUGUACUUUCCUGCCGCUAAACAUGGGUCAUGUGAGAUUUUACGAGUACAAUUUGUUGACUGAUGAGGUACUGCAUGUUCUGUUGCCGACCCUGAGAUGGUUAAGGGUGCUAUCUUUGUCUCAUUAUCAGAAAAUCUCUACAUUGCCUAGUUCAAUUGGAUGUUUGAAGCAUCUGCGCUAUUUGAAUCUCUCCAAUAAUGCUAGUCUAAUCAGAUUGCCUGAUUCAAUUACAUCUCUAUACAACUUGCAAACCUUAAUUCUUGCUUACUGUUGGUGUCUCGUUAAGUUAUCGAGAAACAUGGGCAGCCUAACCUGUCUAUGUCAUCUUGAUAUAAGGUGGACAUCCCUAGAGAGAAUGCCGUGGGGGAUGAACAGACUGAAGAAUUUGCAUAUAUUAACUAAUUUGGUGGUGGCCAAAAACGGUGGGACCAGGUUUAGGGAGCUAGGGGGGCUAGAGAAUCUUAUGGGUACACUCUCCAUACAGGGUUUGCAUAAUGUUGAUAGUUACCGAGAUGCCGAGAUAGUCAAUUUGCAGGGAAAGAGCUACUUGAAAAAGUUAGUACUGGAAUGGGGUUAUGAUGACAAUAUUACGAAGCAAACUAGCUUAAAUGUAUUGAACAAGCUGCAACCUCAUUGGAACUUGAGAGAGCUUAUCAUUAUAUCCUAUGGUGGUAGGUCAUUUUCCACUUGGCUGGGACACGGUUCAUUCUCUAAUAUGUCAGUCGUGCGUCUUGAAUCUUGCAAGCACUGUGUGUCAUUGCCUCCUUUAGGACAGCUACCAUCUCUGGAGAAGUUGAUAAUCGAAGGAUUCGAUGGAGUUACAAGUGUGGGUACUGAAUUCAAUGGUAGUAACUGUAUACCUUUUCAGUCACUUCAGUACUUGGAAUUUGGUGGCAUGUGCAGCUGGAAAGAGUGGGCUUCUUUGGCAAUAGAAACAGGAGGUCUUGCCUUUGCACAUCUGCAGGAGCUUUGUAUUACAAAUUGCCCCCAGUUGAGUGGAGGUUUACCCAGCCAUCUCCCUUCUCUAACAGCCUUGUCCAUUGAAGGGUGCUCACAGCUAACGUCUUCNNNNNNNNNNNNNNNNNNNNNNNNNNNNNNNNNNNNNNNNNNNNNNNNNNNNNNNNNNNNNNNNNNNNNNNNNNNNNNNNNNNNNNNNNNNNNNNNNNNNNNNNNNNNNNNNNNNNNNNNNNNNNNNNNNNNNNNNNNNNNNNNNNNNNNNNNNNNNNNUAAUCUCGAGGGCAGUCAUGAAAUAGAAGUGCCAUACACAGAUGCCAUGAUCUCUCCAAUAUCUAAACUUGAAAAGGAGCUGCGAUUCACUUAUAUCAUUUCCUCUGGAAAUUUUCCCCUCACUUAAGAAUAUUCAGUUAAGGAAGAUUAAAAAAUUGGAACAUCUUAAAAUUCUGACAGUUCUCCACUUCUUCUCCAUUCGAUGGACAUUGCUGAUUGCCCUAAAUUUAGAUCUUUCCCUGCGGGAGGAUUGGCUGCCCCAUGCCUCACUUCAUUAGAUUUGAAUGACUGUCGUCGUCUAAAGUAUCUGCCAGAAAACAUGCAAGCUCUCCUUCCCUCGCUUCGGUCACUAACAAUAUCCUCAUGUCCACAACUCGAGUCAUUUCCCGAGAGGGGUUUACCCUCCAAGUUGGUCACGCUUUCACUCUCUAAUUGUGACAAGCUCAUCAUUGGCUACAAGGAUUGGGGCCUUCAAUCACUAUGUUCUCUUAAAACUUUUGUCAUUGGGCAAGAGAAAAAUAUAGUCAUUUCCUGAGAUAGGGCUUCUCCCAACCUCUCUUACCUCUCUGCAUAUCUCUGGCUUUGAGAAUCUGACAUCCCUAAACUCCAAAGGGCUUCAUAGCCUGAGCUCCCUUGAAUACCUGACCAUUGGCAAAUGUCCGAAGCUCCAUUCCUUCCCAAAAGAGGGACAAAUUUUGCCCGCUUCUCUUACCACUCUGUCAAUUUAUGGAGUGGGUCUAAAAUCACUGGAUAACUUAGGGCUCCACCACCUCACUUGUCUCAAAGAAUUUCGCAUAGAUAGCUGCCGAUGUCUUCGAUCCUUGCCAGCGGAGGGCUUGUCAUCCUUCAUUUCCAAUCUAUUUAUCCAUCGGUGCCCUUUGCUGAUGAAAAGAUGCCAUUGGAAGAAAUGGAAAGAUUGGCCCCUAGUUUCGCACAUUCGCUGCAUCGUGAUUGAACGUGUGCUCGUCACACGAUCAUAUAUCUUGCUUUACAAUCCUCCUUUUACCAAGAUCUCACUCAGGUAUCUCCCCUGGCCCUACACUAAGUAAGUCAUUUAUUUAUUCAGGACAUACUUCAGUCGCUUUGUGGUCAAGCACUAACAUCUGACUGUAUUUGCCGCAUGCUACUCUAAUAACACUUCACAAUGGAGAUUAUUUGUAGUUUCACCGGCUUUCCAUUGUUGUUCUACGAUUGGGCUGCAUAAUUUCUUUAUUGGUUGCCGAGUUAUUUAGCUGGAGCGUCUGCUUUUCCCCUUCUCCAUUCUCUCUAUAUAAAUCACACUACCAUACUUCAGCUAAGUGUCUGUCAUGGUCUUUAUAGUCUCACCUGGGAAUGAUUAUUUCAUUGCUACUUUAUGUCGCCAUCAGAUUAUUUCAGCUUUAAGAUCUCACUAUUGUCCACACCUACAAAUGCCAACUUAUAGAACCGUUUGUGCGUGAGCUGACAAUAGUAAAUAGAGCAAAGAGAUUCAUGGUCAUCUAAAGAAGGCCUAGCCUUGAUUAGGCUAUCUAGAUGAAAUUAUUUUUUCUCGAACUCUGGCACGUCCUCAAGUUAAAAAGAGAGUAAAUUUGUUCUUAUCAACAAAUGCUUUAUGUUGUGUAAAGCUGUAUAAUAUUACGAGGGAGACGUAAAUUCUUAAGACCAGGCAUGACUCAUGAUUGACUUGUAUUACGCUUGCCAGUGUUGGCAAAAUAUGCAUCGAAAUUGGGUAGUACAAUGAAAUCGGAUCGAGUAAAACAACUCGGACUUUGAGGCGUGAUAUCACUUUCUUUAAGAAUUUAUUUGCCCCCACAACGUUGCUAAUGGUCACCGACAAAAAUCCUCCAGGAUACAACAAAAUCUCGGAUGAGAAUACUAAAUAGCAAUUCUAGUAUUUCUCCAGGGUCUCUCUAAGAAAACAAUCGAAAAUUUGGCUACAGUUUUUCAGAAAGAAGACUCGAAAAAUGACCACACUUUUCUUUCCAAAAAAUGACAAGUAUAUAUAUGAAACAGUCUUGCAACUCUUCGUGAAAAUUGCGAACAAACAUUUUUUAAAUAGCAAGGGAUUAAGUGCUAAGUGCUAAGUACGCCAAAAUCGCGCAAUUAUUCGCGCACCCACUGCGGGUAUGGUGGGGUCUAGCCCUACCUAAUCACUCCUUUAACUACAAAAGGGAAAUCCCACUUUUUUAAACUGACCCUCCUACUCCCACUUUUUCUAUGUGGGACAAAGUAAAAAGCACUCAUUUUGUUUUAACAAACAAAAUUCCAACAGCCAGAACAGUGUGGUAUCAUAGGUGGAGCAUAUUUCUAUUUGCUUUGUAUGUUUAUUUGUCAAUUUCAGCUAAACAUCACUCUAAGGUUGUACAGUUUAACAAUUUCCCUCACUGCAUGCAGAAUCUUGAUCCAUGGAAUGUGAAAAUGAAACAGUUUAAGAGAUACGAGUGACCCAGCAUUUUGUAGUGGCAUAUCCACUUUUUUCACUAAUUAUAUCAUGACGUCAACUAAAUUCAUCAAACUGAAGGUCUAAAAAGAGUGAAAAAGUUAGGUUUUUAUUUGUUGAAGUUGAAAAUUUGCAUCUCAAAAUGCAAUUCAAUCAAAAUAUAUGGACUUAUUGUAAUUUACCCUAUUUUGAGAGAAUCUAGUUUCUUUUGAGGGAAUUUAAGCGAUUUUAUGUCCAUUGACUUUUGAGGAGCUUCUGUGGAUGGAGAUAGAGCUGGAAAUGUAUUGCUAACUUUUAGCUCGAUUAGAGUAUCCUUUAGUUGUUAAUACUUGUCUUUCAAUCAUUGCAGGUGGAGUGCUUCUAGAUGGGGUAAGACUAACUAAUGUUCCAAAAAAUAAAUGAUGCAUCCAUGAUUAGCAAUACAUGCACAUGCUGUGUUGAGAUGGACGUGUGAAUUGUGUUAGAAAAAGUCCAACAACGUGGGANNNNNNNNNNNNNNNNNNNNNNNNNNNNNNNNNNNNNNNNNNNNNNNNNNNNNNNNNNNNNNNNNNNNNNNNNNNNNNNNNNNNNNNNNNNNNNNNNNNNUGGCCAACUAGAUAUGUUGAAAGUUUUGGACUUGGGCUCUCUCUUGGCUUCCACUACGCGCUCCCAAGCCAAAUUGGUGGCAACCUGUUGUUGCAAAAGAAUGCUUGGAUUAAGGGAGAAGUAUACAUAACAUUGAGCUUACAUGUAAGAGGGAGAUAAGAAUUGAUGUGGUAUGGAGUAAGAGGGAGAUAAAAAUUGAUGUGGUGUAGAGUACUUAUUAUCUCCUAGUUGACCCAUGAUUCAUUGACCGAAGCUUUUGAGUAUAUGUUAGGUCCAACUAUAUUUGUUGAUAGGGUCGAACUUGGGUUGUUCCUUGGCGAUCUCCCAUGUGAUGGCAUCGAAUUUCUGCUAGACACUACCAACAUGCCACGGUGGAUGUCGGAUGCUACUUUGGAUGGACUUAUUCUUCUCCCACGAUAUCAAAAUAGUUUCAGUAAGAGGGUUGUGGUGAGAAAACAAAAUGUUGCUCAGACUUCACAAGACGAGUGAAUUAUGAGGAUCAGGAGCAACAUAGACAAUGGGAUGGUGGAAAUCGGCUAGGAAAACAAAUCCAUUUUUCAUGCAAUCAGCAAGCCAAGUGAUCGACUCUGGAAAUGUCAUAAUCGAGCUCAAUUAGGAGAAUCAAAAUUUCACUGUCGGUUUGCAGCUUGUGAGAAAUUGUUUACCAAUGAGUGCGAGUGCAGGAGAGGCACUCCAAUGCAAUUGCAACGUUUAGUUGAAUGCAACGACAUGCCAUUUGAGAAGUAUUUGCCUGAUGGUUUGGUUGGAUUGUUGUUUUAGCAAGCUGAUACUUGUCACAAUGGAGAAAUAAGAAACCAUUCAAGGUGAAACGGAGCUAACGCAUGGUCUGUAGAGGUACAUCCCAUGUGUUCGAUGUUGUAGCAUUGGAAGCGGAUCGUAUUUGAAACCGAUGAUGGGCAUGAGAAGAGUGGGUUAUGGAGAUAUUGUUUGAUACAGCUUUUCGAUUGUAGCUGUGACACGUAAAACUGUAUGCUUCCGCUUUCGCAAGGUAACAUCUCAAAGCUAUCAUCUGGAACCAGAAAGCUGUCCCAUCUAGCUUUCAGCUUUGUCGCCGUUUGUUACCAAUUGAUCGCAACUAUGAUUGUACCACAUGGGCCUUGAGUGGAGCUUCAUAGCCUAUACAAGAUUAGGAGGGGCUGGAGGAUUGAUUGAGUGAUACUUCUCUCUUUGGUUGAGUGGUUCUUCUCUUCUUCAAAAGCACCUCUAAUUCUCCGGGACACACUUAAAGCAAAGAGCAGGAAUAACUCGUGCAUGCAAGCAUAUACCCGUUUCGUGCUAUCGGAGGGUGUAACAUAUAGUGAAUAAGUGAAAUUUAAGGUCAUGUACAAGUCUUAUUUAUCAUGUUCAAGUUUGAAAGUCAUCAUAUGUAAAUCAACAGUGGCUGUGUAUGUAUAUAUAAGGACGAGCAUUCUGAUUGGUAUGCAUAACAUAGUCGAGAAAGAUGAAUCAAAUAACCUUCAUUCCAGCUUCAAAAUCUGCAAAGACGUCAUUUCCCGAUAUUUUUCAAACUUUUUGAGCAUUGCCCUAGCCAUAGAACUAAUAGCCUCAUCCUCAGUAUCCCUUGCCUGUAUUAAACGAAGCUGAAUCUGCCAUACUCCAUAAAAAUAUAAAUUUGCCGUGGGAUAUCUAACUCCAGAGAACAGAGUAGAAAUAUCAUAAAAGGGUUUUAACAACAAAGCAAUUUUCUUUCCUCUAACCCAAUCUUCAGAAGAUGGACAUGUGACAAAGUUACAGUCAAUUAACUUCAAAUGCGAAAAUGCACAUUCAAAGAAAAGGGCACCCUCAAGCAUUAGGUAUGUAGAAUUACAUCUGGUGGCCACAUCUUGACGUACCUUUUUACUGGUCUUUAAGCACGACUGCAAUAUACAUUCGGCAAAUUUAACUCUCCUCCCUUGUGUAGCCCUCACAUACUUGACAGCUUCUCUAAUAUUAUGUAAGGAUCCAUCAAUAACCUUUAAACCUUCCUGUACAAUUAGACUUAAAACAUGUGCACCACAACGCACAUGAAAAAAUUGUCCAUCACAUAACAAAGAAGAUCUCACAGAAGGUGUAUUUCUCCAAAUAUCAAUCAUACUGUCAUUGUAUGAUGCAUUAUCUAAAGUGAUGCUGAAGAUCUUUCUCUCAAUGCCCCAUUCUCUCAACAAAGACAGCAAUUUUUCUAAAAGUAUGACACCACUAUAUGGAGGUGGCACAUAGGAGAAACACAAGACUUUUGAUUGCAAUUCCCAAUCAUCAUCAAUAUAAUGAGCAGUGACGGUCAUAUAAUGAUCCGUAGUAAUAGAAGUCCAUAGGUCAGAAGUCAAACAUAUUCGGCUCGAAAGAGACAAUAAUUUGGAUUUCAAAAUUCCCUUCUCUUUCUCAUAAACUUUUAGCACAUCACUUCUUGCUGUAUUCCUUGAUAUGUGCUUCACAUUAGGGUUGAGGUAACUAAACAAUUCUCUUGUUCCCUCAUGCUCUACAAAAGAGUAUGUAUAAUUGUGUUUGAUUAUCGCUCUUGCAAGCAUAUCUCUAAACACACCUCGGUCAAAUUGUACCACAGAACCAUCAACAUUAACCUCUCGGUUGGGACAAGUAUUUAAAUGACGCAACAAGUUUUUUGUCCCAUGGCUAGCCAUAUAAGUUACUUCACACCAUUUACAUUUAGCCUUACUCAUGCCAUCACCAUCUGUGAAUUUUUCGAAUUCAGACCAUACAACCGAAGUGUGUUUUCUUGAACGCUUAGAGGAAGUAGAGAUAUCUUCCUCAUCCUCAUGAACUAAGGAUGUAACUCUCUUGGAUCGGUCGGUAGUUGAAUAUUCUCCUUGAUCCUCGCUAUGUCUUGACAUGUCAACUAACAAAUCUUAAAUCAUAAGAUAAGCCCCACCUCAAUAUUUGGGCGAACAACACAAACAAGCUCCCCACAAACUCGUAAUGCUUCUGCUGUGACUUUGUAAUAUCUCUCACAAAUAGUAGAUAAAACAGGGGAGGAAAGCACCUAAAAUAUCAUAAUAAAAACAGAGAAAGUAAACACCCUGCAGCUGAUUUUGUAUAAACCCAACUCAGAAGCAGGUAGCAUAAACAGUUUAUAUACACAGCAAAGGUAGGAAUUAUACCGUCGAACAAAAGAUGACAGAAAACCGUCGAACAGUUACAAACUUUCCAAUAUAGAACCUAAUUCAGCAGCCCGAAACAGAAUGACCCAAUAAACAAAUCAAUCCGGAAGGCAAGAACAGAGAAACCAAACCGGAUCACCGAAAAGACCCUGCGCACCAGCUCAAGCAAUAGCAAACUGCAAAAUGCUGGAACAAAACAACAGCUAGUGCACGGAGCUCCCACUCUGCGCGGGAUGAUGGGACAGGUCCGACCACUUUGGUUAUAAUGUACACAGAUUUUUGCAAGAAAAUUAUUUCUGCGACUCGAACCAGAGGUCACACAGCAACAACUUUUACCUGAAAUGCUAGUCCUAAAUGUAACCAAAUGCGUCGCUGCAGUUUAAAAAGCAAUGCAGACACUUUCAUAACAAGACCAAGGAAUCAAGUAAUAAUUUUUCUAUUUCACGUAGGUCCUUUUGAAAAAAUACAUGCGCACAAUUUCAAGAACACUGUUCUUAUUGUAAAGAUCACAAGAACAAACAGACGAAACAACAUGAAUGAAUCACUUUGGCCCUAGCUACCAUCCGCUUAGCAACAGUCAUGAGUUCCAUGAUUCAAUUUCUUGGCUUUCAAAUGAAGAACACGUAUCUACGGAGCCCGUGAUUGAGGUUAAGCUGCAUUGUAUUGGUAAUGAAAGACCCGUCGUUUCACCCGAAGAAUAAGAACCUUUGGAGCCCCCAAUCAAGGUUAACCAAUCGAAAAACCAAUCGGAAUGACCCACAUUGCAACUCAAUCCAAUAGAAAAACCCAGCAAGCCCCACGCCCCGAUCAGCUUGCCACCAAAGAAGAGGCCAAACCCAGAAACGAGACAAGCGAGAAGGGCGUGCCCGCGACACGAUUACUUACCCGGCUGUUACGAAAACGGCUUAGGUUUGCGGCUGAACUGCGCCGGACGACGGCGACGGAGAUCUAAAAAAGACCGCAGAUUCGCCCAAUCAAAGCGCAAUCGCUUUCCGCGGACGGCGAAGACGGCGACGACGGCGGCGGCUGCGGCAACUGACGGCGGAAGGAGAAGGAGUGCUCGGAAAAAGACAGGAAUUCACCGGCGAGCUCUCGGCCUCUGAGUCCCGACUUGCAGUACGUCGUACGAUGGAGGGAAAGCGAGAAAACGAAGACGUCGAAGAGGGAGAGUAAAUGGGUUCGCUUUAGUGGGUUGAUAAGUGGGUCAUAAAUGGGUUGAGAGCAGACUCAGACCCAUUUAAAACCCAUUUAUUUCAGCUUUUUUACUUUUAAAACUCAUUAUGGGUGCAAGCUUGACCCAUUAACGACCCAUUUAGCUAUAAAUGGGUCUAUAAAUGGGUCAUUGACCCAUUUUUGACACCCAUAGCUAUGAUAAAGAGAGAUAUUUAUUUAAAUGUUUUCUGUUUGGAGACUUUAAUUUCUCGAUACCUUUUUAUUUUCGUAAAAAAUGACUUGCACUAUGGAAAUUAAUCGAGAUGUGUGAAAUAUGGGCUAAAUCUUGGAUUUCCGAAAUUGAAAUUGAAUGAAAAGAAAACGUGAGUGAUUUGAUGAAAGAGAAUAGCCAUUUGGAAAUUGAUGGUGAAAAUAUGUAGAACAGCUCUUGAUUGGAAAAUAGGGAUGGAAAUCAAAGUGGAUAUUGUAUUUGGCGAUUGCAAGCAUUGCAUCAUGAAAUACUAUUGGAAAAAUAUCACCACAAUUCAUUUAUUUCACAAAAAAAUGAAUGAUUUGAAAAAAUGGAACUUAAUAAAUGAUACCCGCCACGACUUAGAGCUAACUAUCGGCUCCCAAGGGGCAAACCUAGAAUACUGUGCGCAAAAUAUUUCAUAUCAAGGCUAAAAUUACAUUGUAUUAGCAUGAGACGUAACAAACUCGAAAUGCAUAACUAUCGGCUCCCAAGGGGAAAACCCUUCUUUCCCUUUCUAGCUUUCUCCGGGAAAAUUUUCCGAUCCGUUGCAAACCGUUCAUCAUCUUCCGUUCUGUAACAGAUCUCGACGACCUGCGAGGCUGCGAUGGAGAUUCGCAUCGGAAGAGGCUAAGCGUGGGCCAUCGCCGCCGGAUUCAUGGCCGCUCUCGCUGCCAUUUCCGCCAAGUUCUUCUCCUCUCAGGUGACUCGACCUCAUCCCUUCAUCUCCGAUUGCGCGCUUGUUCGUGCGAGCUAAUCUAUAGUUGUCCCCCGCCGUUCUGCUUCGGCACUCGAGGCUGUGCGAUUGUUCCAGCCAAUGCAAAUCGAAAUCUGGCGUGUGUGUUGGACCGUGUCCCUAAUGUAUCUCCGGCCGAAGCACUCGACGUCGCGUGGCGCGAUGUGAGCUGCGGCCGAUAGCCGGUGCGCGGCGAUACGUCCAAUUUUUGGUUGUUUGAGGAUUAGCGGGAGCUCUAAUUGAGGAAAGCUCCUGCUAAUUCUACUACUUCUGUGGAGAGUAGUUGAAUAGAUUACCGAGAGGGAAGCUUGGAAGCUAUCCGAGCGGCCUGUCGUGGCAAUCGGUCGACGCCUGCUCAGUAGCAGAGGAGAGUUUCGAAAGUUGAGGGGACAAGCUUAGGAAAUUCGUGCAAAAUCUCAGUUUAUGAGAUGGGGAUGCGGACAGAGAUUCUUGGUGAAAUUUAAAAGAAGAUAGCAUAGGAAAUAGGAAAUGUUCGCCUAGCAGGCAGGCCAGGCGGGGCGGGGUUGGGGCAUCUGGAGAACUCUGACUGGAUAUUUAGAAGGGAUUGCUAUUGUACAAUCAUCUUCUCGAAGGUGAGCUUCACAGACUGGGUUGUUAUCUGUCAGGUUUAUAUUUUCACUGGGAUGAAGAAGAAUAGCAAAGAGAGAGAAAACAGAGAACGAUUAUUUACUGUUGCUCUUCUUUUCCCCAGUGGGUAAGUGCAUCUGUUAUUCGUGGUGUCAUUAGCUGCGGAUGUCAGCAUUUCGUAGUCAACUCAGUCUGAGAUUGGUGCUUUUGCAGUGAACUAGUUAAGUCCUACCAUGAAUGGAGUUCGUUUGGUUGUAUCUACCUUAAACGUUAAAUCGUCAUUCCCUGGCACAAUUAUGUGAAAAGAAUUAGACGUUUGAUUCUCUUUGCGAGAAAAAUGUUUCAAUGUCUGAGUCCAGUUAAUUAGAUUCCUAGGAAUUGACGAUGAGUGGUCACUGCACUGCACUAAAGCCUGUUAUUUGACAGGAAUCUUUUCCUCAUGCUCCUCCUUUUCCUCCAUUUCUUUUGACUGUAGGGGCAGAUUGUUUAAAGAUAUCUUUCAUGUGUUUACUGAUUGUCUAAGAUGCACAGUUAAGCAUAUAUUCUGUCAUGAUACAUCAUUGAUGAAUUUUCCCAGUAACUGUUGCCAUUAGAUGGGUGUUGUUAAUAAAUUGUGCAGUUCAUGAACUCGGACAUAUUUUUCCUGGACUAACACCCAGACAUCUGAAUUUAUUAACAGGUCAUUAAGUAUGGUUUUGUCAUACUGUUCAAUGUUACAAUGUGGGGAUGUUAUGUCAACAGCCUAAAGAGUCUCUCGUCUCUUCAAGCCACAGUUACGAACUUUGCGACAAAUUUCCUCACUUCUGGAUUAGCUGGGUUCUUUUUGUUUGAUGAGUCAUUGAGAUACCAGGUACUUUGAUUAACUAUUUUCCUGCCCUGUUCUGCAAAGUUAUAUACUUCAAGGUUUGAUUUUUUACUGUGUCUAAAAUAAGAGGCAAGCUCUUAUUGUUACAGCCGGAGCUGUCAAAAGUAUUUUUCACUGAUACAAGUAAUAUCAUGACUGCAUUUAGUUCCCUCAAGAGAUAAAUUCUCCCUAUGGAAUCGGAACUGGUUAUCUUGAAAGUGGCAAGUAGGCUAAAAUUUAGGAGUCAAGUUAUGCAAUAGAUAACUUCCGAGUUUAUUAUCUCAUGAAUGCAUUGAGGGUGAGGAGGGUUUUAUAUUUCAGAUGAAAGCUUCUGAGAUCAAUGUGGUUGCCAAGGAAAAGAGUUAGCUCGCUUCAUGCAAACCUGUUGUUCAGGGAUUCUUGGCGUAGUCUCCACCUUGCGAUAAAAGGUGUCGAGUACUUCCUAGUUCCUGAUAAUGACUUGAGUUUUAGGUUUAAUCAUUGCUAUCUUGACUCACAUUAUGGUUGUGAUAUGGUUGUGAAAUUGUGAUUAAAAGGAUGCAGUGAUUGGAGAUUCUCACUCCACUUAGUCUAUGAAUGCAGAUUUCACAAAAUUCACAUGAAGUCCCGUUCUUAGUGGUUUGCAGGUGCACUUUUCAUAGUGAUUGGCGUGCUAAUUCUCAGCAAAUCAAGUAUUGAGAAGAAAAGUAGAGUUGAUUGAAAGUUCUCAGUUUAUGAGAGAUACCAUACGCCAUGCUUGAAGGUUGCCCCCUUUUGCUACUGGCAACAGUUGCUCUGCUGCUUUGGUUUAUGCUUUUCUUUCCCUUCUCCCUUUUAAGUGCCCGAACUGCCUGUUCUCAUUUAUCUUUUGUGGAUUUGCAGGUGACUUAGUAGAGAUCAGAAGUUCCAUUCUUGUGCCACUCUCAAGGAAAGGAGAAAAUGAAGUUGAGAAUUGAGGAUAUAAAGGGUGUUUCCUUCCUGGCCGGUGAUUCCGUGUGAACGAUCACUACUUUUCGUGACUGGCAGCACCGAGGAUGCUAUGUUGUUAAUGCCAGGAUUGCUAUGUUACUGUUAAUGGUGACUAUACAAUAUAGCUACAAGGCAAGCUGCAAAGAAGACAGAUUUGUGUUUAGAGAUGGGAUCCUAUCCUACCUUUUCACCAUGCCAAACGAGUAGGCUAAAACAUUGGUAAGUGAACCCUAAUUUAGGCGCUCUCGAAAGGCUGAAUGUGUCGUGCGCGCUUCGUGAGCGUGAAGCUAAAAGAUCAUCUUUACAUUGAUAUAAAUCAAGGCCUUG